CGCUUCCGUUUCCAUGUAACAUAGCUACAAAAUCAAAAUCUAAAAGCCAAAAACUAAAAAUUAAAAUCUAAAUCUAAAAACUAGCAAAACAAUCAUCACCAUCUUCCGAAGAACCGGAAGCGAAGCGCUAUGCCGGGGUGGGGGCAAAACGCGCCAUCACCUACAGCCCUUUCCUCUGCCGGGGACUGACUGAAUCACUCUUUUGGUCUAGUCGGUGGAACCAAUUAGACCUGCUAUUAACGUCGGCUUAUCUGUCAGUCGCGUCGGGUCUGCCCGUUCCCAUGAGUGAUCCGAGACAGUACGCGGAGGUGAAAGUGACAACAGAUGCUGCAGCCGCUUCAGAACUGAUGAACUUAUAACGAUGUUUGUCCCGCAUAUCACUAGGAAGAUCGGGAUGUCAGAGUAUGUUUCGAUCGUAGGCCGAAUUUGGGCUUAUCUCAUUGGGCCUAGGCCUGCUCUAACUUCCUAAAACGGGAAUCUAAAUCUUCUUUUCUAGUGUUCAAGUCAUCACGGAUAGGUCCACAAAUAACUCUCGUCAAAUUAGAAAUUUGUAUUUAUACAUGAAAGUUAAAUUGUUCGGAUAGGUCCACAAAUAACUCUCUCGUCUAAAUAUAUAAUAGAGUCAUUAGUUUUGAUAGAACUUUGCAAUUAAAUCCAUGAUUAGUCAUUGACUCCCUGCUGUUUUGGAAAUUUUGAGACGUGCAUACAUCAAAGCUGUAUUUUCAAAGCUGUAUUAAUUGCAUUCAUCUUAUUGAUGUAUUAGUUAUGAAACAAGAAUUAAUGGUACUACAUAUUAUUAGUCUAUUACUCGGUGAUAAUAGUAGUCUCUAUACAACAGUUCUGUUUCUCACCUACUGUCAUACCAAUACGACGUAUCUUCAGGUUAACCUUUAUAUAUACACAUGUACAUAUAUUAUACAGUUGGUUUAGAUAAACAAAUUACACCAUUGCAUGUGCACUUCAAUUAUAUAUAUAUAAAGUAACAAUAUAUAGUAUUAUAUAAACUAUCAAGUGUAAUUUACCUCGAGAGGGGAAUAUUUUCGUAAAAAUAAGAUAACUAUGGGGAUGAUCAAAACGUUCGCAUGUUGGCUUUUGUGGGGGAGGGGGACAAAAGUCAGAUUACACUGAAAAUUUCAAGAUUCAAUCUUAAAGUUCCCUAACCCCCAAAGACAUUCAAUAAGUCAACUUAUUGAUUGAGAUAGAUUAACCAUAUCCAUCGUUUUGUGGACACUAAUUAGCUUAGGAUCCUCCAUUUAAUAAAAAAAGGAAGGUAGGAAACGUGGACGGACAAACAUGGGUCUUGGACUCUUAGACAGAAGACAAACAUCAAUCUUACUCCUCUUUGAUGUUAAGUGGGAUUCAUUAUAAUGUAUCUUCAAAUGAAAUUAAGUAUUGUUCGUUUAAAAGAACUUUGUAUUUAAUUUAUUUUAUUAUAGUUGGGCUAUACCGACUUAAAAUUGGAAGUUGGAAUUGAAAAGAAAUUUGGCAUAAGAAGUAGUAAAAUAUCAUUUAUAUGAUACAAUAUUUAAAAACAUAUGAUAGAUAGAGUAGUUUUUGUCUUUUAGACUAUUGCGUAUUUGUUCUUUCAGUAAUGUACAGAUGUUUUUGGUCGCCAAUUUUAAGAAAAGAAUUCAUGUGUAUUUUAAUUUCGUUAUUAAUAUGCUAAUUUAAACAUAAAUGAUUUUUUUGAUGAAAACAUAAAUGAAAUAUUAUUUUAUGAGACAAUGUUAGAGAUUACUUUGUCAGAUCAAUUGGAGAAUACGAGUAUACGACAAUAUGCAAAGGGCUCAAUUAAUAAAUAUACAAAUCGCUACUUAAGGUUAAUCUAACGAUACUUAAGACAAUCAUGAUGCUAUUGUCUCGAACUCAAACGUUGCCUUUACGUUGCAUUUACAAGCACGAUCGAUCUAUAUUUUGAAACUAAUACAAAUUUUCAUCAAAUGUUUUGCACAAUGUAGCGCGAAAUAGUUUAUACUUUUCACUUUGCGUUUGGUUAAUAAAUCUUUAACUUCAGAAAACAAGCUAUGAUAACAUGUCAAUGCAAUAAAUAUAAACGUCUACAAACAAUUAGAUCCUAAAUAUCAACGUCAAAAAGUAGGCACUUAGGCAUAAUCAUCCAAGAUUCCAAAUCAAAUACUGCAAACAAUGUAUCAAAUACAUGCAGCCGUAAAUUAAUACAUUCAUAUUAUUAUGUAUAGAAAAGCGUAUAGAACAUGGAUCAAGAUCUAGUUCUCUCAAUAAUCUAACAGAAGUCUUCAAAAACCAACGGAGUUUGAUUCCAUAUAAGUUAACAACAACAUUUCACUUUUGUUUUUGUGUGGUUUUGUUACACAGCAACAUAGCAUAUAAGCUUAUAGGUAACGCAAACAGAAAAAAAUAUCUAAGCUAUGGAUAUAUAGAAUAUCUAAUGAAAAUUGAUCAAUAUCUAGCUUUCUUGAUUUUUUUACCGAAAUCUUGAAUAACAGACGGAGGAAACAUAGAUUCGACCUCUCUUGCUACAUCCAAGAAAACCACAGAUCUCUUUAACCACACGUCUCUCCUUUUCACGGCCGGAGAAGCUUUUGGCUUUCUAGGCGGCCGAGGAGGACAAUAACACCUUAUGUUUGAAUUCCUCGGCGUCUCUAGAAUCUCUACCCGAGAAGUUUCAUCAUUAUAUUCCCAUUUUCGUUUGCUUCUUGAUUCAUACUGGAGCUUUUCUUGUUCUUGAUCUUGUUCUUGAUCUUGAUCCUGAUCUUGUUGUUGGUUGUUUCCAUCACUUCUAGAUUUAUAUUCUUUAAGACUUGGAGAUAAUGAUGAUUCUGGAGGCCGCGGGUUUGAUGGAACUAGGAGACUAUCGGUAUUGUGAAUGGCUGCGAUAUCUUUGUCAUUAGGCAACAACUGAAAUAUCUUUGUAUCUGGCAUGUUAUCACAACCAGGGAGAGAAACAGAAAAAGAAGGGUAAAGGUUAAACACAAAACUAAUGACUUUGAUAUCAGAAACAGCAACAAGACCUCGGUAUAUAUUUGUUAUAUUAGUGUAUACGUGUGUGAGAGUACUGUGUUUUAUUGUUGUAUAUAUGUGUGUGUGUUGUAAAUUAAUAAGGAGGAAAUAAAUUUUAACUAAGAUACUUGUGUGAGUGUAUGUUUGGUAUGUGUGUGCGCGCUUGAUAUAUAUAGCAAAGAGCGACACCUCCAAAUCGACCAGGGAGCAAGGCAUGCAGACCGUAAAAAGAGAAGGACUUUUCUUAUUUAUAUUUUUGCUUGUAAAAAUUGCACAAACAGAAAGAAAAGAAAAAACUACUACUCACCAAAACAUACUAUCUUAUCUAUAAUAAAUAGUGUAUUCUGUACAAAUUGUAUUUAACCACAGAUCUCUCAGACAAAUUUAGAAUGAGAAAACGAGCUUCUCCAUCAUAAUCGAUUACAAAGAUUCAGAAUAUAUGACCUUUAAAUCAGUUCUCAGAAAGAAAUAGUGUCCAAGCUAGCGUUUUGCUAAUUCUAAUAAAUGUUGCUUAAAUUAAAUAUUUUGGUAUCAAUCAAAUUAUAGGAUCAAAAAUAAAGAUAUAAUAGCUUGAAUGCAAACCUAAGUAAUCGAAGUUUUGGAAACUUCAAAUUUGAAAUGGAUCUAGGGUUUGUAUAAAAUGAAUGAACACUUGUGAUUAAGGAGAUAUUUAUUGAAAAAGCAUGAUUUAUCAUUAACAGGAAAACCUUAUUUACGAGCAGGAUUUGAAUACUUUAUAAGGUAAUAUCAAGUUCAAUGCACUCUCUACACUGAUGUAUUAUAUGUACAUCAUCUUGAGCUUAUAUAUGAGCAUCAGUAUAAUUUGAUAUAAAAUUAUGUGGGUCCUGACUCCUGACCAAAAAUUAAAAUGAAAACGCACUUUGUGCGAGGGAUCCAAUGUAAAAAAAAAACGUAAAUGCAUAUAUAUUUCUGCAUAUUUGCAUUUACAUACAAGUAAUUAUUAAAACUUUAGCCAUAAAGAAACCCUUCUUUCUGCGUGAAAAAAAAAAAGAAACUCUUCUUUCUCCGUACUCAGAUUCAUAUCUUUUCAUUCUUUCACCUCCAAGAAUAUCAGCAUAAAAAGUAGCGAAUAUUCAGAAAAUAACAUUUUCACUUAUUUCUUUUAGAUUUUAGCAAAUUUUGUUUCGCUACUAAAUUACUAAUCAAAUAAAAUUAAAUGAUUUUCUUCUCUAUAUAUAUAAUUUAAAGGUAUUUUCUUAUAUAUUACUAGUUCGUUUAUUGUAUUUGCAGUAGUGGACUAAUCGGCCUAAAAUAUCCAUUCCAAAAUGUAAUGCAAGUCACAUAUCUCAAUUGUGGGACUCCUACAUAUUCAUAUAUAUCCAAUUGGUGGUUAGCCAAACAUUUUAAAUAUUACUAAAUAACAUGUAUUAAAAUCAAUACCUAACAACACUAGAAUAGACCAACAAUUUACUAUAUAUACAUAACCAGUGGCGGAGCCAAUGAAGAAUCACAUGGGUGUGGGUCAGUUGACCCCUGUGAAAUUUUGAAUUUGAUCUAAUAUAUAUAUAUAUAUAAUUGUUAUAAAUGUUGAUUAAUUGUUUAAAUUUUGAUGGUCUGACUCCCUUCAUUAGUUGAGUAAUUUUGCAUAUGUAAAAUUUUGACCCCGGUAGAUUCUUUUUCUACCUCCGCUAACAUAACAUAUUAAUUCAACUCGAACUAUAGGGAAAAGGAGUUACAAUGUAUACUUGGGUUAUGAAAGGUAUACAUAUAUACACCACAUAGUUUGGGUGUAAAUUUCCAUAAUAACUCUCAUGUGACUCGUAUACUUAGUUUUGAUUCUUCAAAGUCAGAUCACGUGAUUAUACAACUAACAUCUGCUGCAUCUUCUUUGUUAAAGUAUCUGCUGCAUCUUAUGUGGAAUCUAUUCUCUUUUUAGCUUUAUAAUCCCUUUUCCAUCCUUAAUCUUAUUAAUUACUUGCAGCUUUCAUGUGACCGCGAUGCCACUCUGUAUAUAUUUAACCAAUAUUCACGGUUCACAGGAUAAAAAGUCAAUGCCAUAUUCAUACCACUUGUAUAUAUAUAUUAAAAAGCAACAAUUGGGGUUUUAGUUAUGUAAGUUUUUUGGGGUGUAAAUGUUAAGAGUAGUUAUGUAACUUUAUAUGUAUGACAAACAUAUUAAUUAUCAUUAAUAUACAUAUAUAUCGUUGCUUGUGGCGUGUAUAGUCUAAGGUUGUGGUAAGAGUGGUUCCUAGGAUUCCUUCAUCGACACGGAUGCUUCGAAAAGAGGUUGUAGAUUUGGUACUACUUGUUCGUUAUUUACUCUUUUUCAUGAUAUUUCCCAAACCGGAAAUUCUAUAGAUAAUACAUGUUUUUAUUUUAUCCAAAUUUAAUCAAUUUAAAUGGUUGCAAAAAUAAAAAUUUGUUUCGAGUUUUAUCAAAAUCUCUAUUUAAAUUGUUUACAAAACAAUCUAAAUUAGAAUAGAUAUAUUUGAAGUCGUUCCAGCACUGGUAUCACAAAUCAUCUAUAUAAAAAUGUGGGCGAAACACUGUACUUUUCAGAAAAUAUGGUAUAUGUACAACCAUAAAAUAUCAAAAUCAGCAUGGUUCACAGAAAAUUAUUGAACCCGUUGCUACAUACUUUCAAACGAUUUGUCCUUACAGUGAUCAUUUGGAUAUAGAAAUUCACGACUAUGUAACGAAAUUCUGUAAUGAAAAGAAAAAGAUUCUGUAGUGAAAAGUUGAGAAGAAAACUAUUUGGAAUUCUUUGGAAAAAAUAAUAAUUCAAAAGAUGACAAUAUGUCACCACGCUGGGACCCAUUUGAGAUUGCUUGGGUUUCACCGCAUCCUAAGUUUAUUAUUGUUGACAUUUGUUCCACAACUCCUAUUUUAAUUUUAUUUAGAAUCCAGCCCCAUGAUUUAUGAUGCGACAACAUAAAAUAAACUAUACUCAUAAACAAAAUGCAGAAUAAACUAGAAAAAAAAAUAAGUCAUUUUUAGCAAGUACGCAUCUUUAUAUAUAUAUAUAUAUAUAUAUAUAUAAUAAUAAUUCAAAAGAUGACAAUAUGUCACCACGCUGGGACCCAUUUGAGAUUGCUUGGGUUUCACCGCAUCCUAAGUUUAUUAUUGUUGACAUUUGUUCCACAACUCCUAUUUUAAUUUUAUUUAGAAUCCAGCCCCAUGAUUUAUGAUGCGACAACAUAAAAUAAACUAUACUCAUAAACAAAAUGCAGAAUAAACUAGAAAAAAAAAUAAGUCAUUUUUAGCAAGUACGCAUCUUUAUAUAUAUAUAUAUAUAUAUAUAUAUACAUAUUACAAUUUUCAUAGAUUAGUCUCAUUUUUGGGUUAAAUUUUUGAUUGAUAUGUUAUAUUCUUAUUGAAAGUAAGAGAAAUAAGGCCAGUUUUCAAAACAAAAAGGGUAAGAGAAAAAGUAUUUUGUAACCAGUGGUCACGGUAGUAUAAAGAUGGUGUGAUGGCUAAACAUUAUCUAGAAGUUUCAAUCAUUAUUUUUAGUAAAAUUAUUUUUCUUUUCUACUAUGGGUUAAUUUAAGGGUAUGAUCGGAUGGUGUUCAUAAGUUUACUCUAGAUAUAUAUUUACUUUCAGUUAAGCCAAAAAAGUCAUCAAUCAAGUGAAAUACUAUCUUUUCAUAUUUACUCUAGGCACUAUUGAUUAGGAAGGAAAUGUACAUUCAUUUUUUCCUCUAGAUUUUGGUAGAGUAAUUUUUUAACUCCAAAUUUUGAUUUCUCAACCAUUUAUUUUCUUCUUUUUCAGCAUUUUUUUACUCCACUUUACUCAGAUGUUACCAAUCACACUCUAAAUAUCUAAAGUAUCUCCAAAUAUAGAAGAAUAAUUAGAAUUGGUACAAAUUGAUAAAUGUUCUACUAUUACUUUUUCUAUUAUUAGUUGAUUAAUAUUUGUAGAUUAACUUUAGUAUUUAAGUCUCUAUAGUAUUACCGAUGCUUAUUGUUCUCGUAUCACUACAUUUAAUUGUUUUUAAAUGCACUACUUUUUACCAUCACUUAGAUUUUCAUAGUACACCACUGUUUUUAGUGGCAUUUAUACCACUAUUUCUAAUGUCUUUUUUUUUUUUUGAACAACCGAAUUAUAGAAUUAAAAGCCGGCCUCAGGCCCAAGAAGUAAUAGAGUGAUACAAGCAGGCUUUGGACAGACUGUCCGCUGGCCCAUUUUCUUCUCUAGCAACAAACGAAAAACAACAGAACUCAAAGGAAACAGAGAGGCGUUCGAUGUCCGAAAGGACUCCAUAGAGGUCCAUCGGCUUGGAAAUCGAAUUUAUCGCGUUGAUCAGCGACAGAGAAUCUGAUCGGAGCCAGAUUUUAGAGAUACCGGUGUGUAAGGCGUGGGAAAGGGCUUCCCUAACUGCCAGGCCUUCAGCCAUAAGAACCGAUGCCACGCCUGGUUGGAACUUGCAUCCAUUCGACACGUUGGGCGCUGUAGAAGAGUCGAAGAUCCAAGCGAGACCUGCCUCAGAGGAUUCCUUUCUCCAGGCUGCAUCAGUGUUACAUGCAAUUGUCCCGGUUGGGAACGAGUCAGGUCUUCCCUGGAUCUGAUUGUUCUUCAUAGCUUUUGAAGGCGGUUCCUGUGCUUGUGUCCAUUCCCUAGCACUCAUCACUGCUUUUAGGGCCGUUGCCUUCGCCGAUAUUGGACGAGCCUCAAACACAAGUUGGUUUCUUGUGAUCCAAAGGUGCCACACCACCCAGGAGAAGAUAUCACCUGAGACUCCAGAGGGUGGUAGGCAUACCCACGAUGUUGCUGCAUCUACCGCCGAUGGAAAGGAGGGGAAAUCAUCUGGAUCAAUUGGUGAUGCAAGAGGUAUAUGCUCCCAUACCUGUUUUGCAAAAACACAAUGGAGGAGGAGAUGCUCUGUAGUUUCCGUGAGGCCACAAUGUAUACAAGUGGUGUUCUGCAACAAUCCUCGCUUUUGGAGAUUUUCCCCUGUGGGCAGGGCACCGUUUAUUGCUUUCCAGACGAAGAGCUGAAUCUUUGGAGCAGUCGGAACAGACCAUACGGAUUUAUACCAGUUAAAGGCGCUGGGUAUGCUCGUACUAGAGUUGUCUGGUUCCUGCACUGCUACAGCUGCAGCAUAGCCUGACUUUGUGGAGUAGAUACCAGAGCUCGCUGGGUACCAAAUGUAAGAAUCCUGAGCUCCCAUCUUACUUGGCUUGAGUUUCAGGAUUUCAUCUGUAAAGUCUGGUAAAAUCUUGUUGAUUAGCUCCUUGUUCCACUCGCAGGAACCUCUAGUAAUUAAGUCUGAGACGAACAUAUCACUGUCUCCCUCUCUGAGAGGCCCGUUUGGAACGACGCUUAUCGAGGUGGAUAUCCAUGGUUCAUUCCAGACUUUGAUCUCAGUUCCAUCCCCCACCGCUCUCCCAAGAUGUUGUUUUAGAAGAUCCCUGCCUGCUAAAAUGCUCGUCCAGCCGUGGGAAGCCCCUUUCACAAGUUGUACGUUGAGAAGAGAGGCUUUGUGGCAAUAUUUUCCAAGCAGGACUCGAGCUAGCAAGCAGUUUGGAUUGGUGAGCAUGCGCCACGGGAGCUUUGCUAGCAGAGCUAUGUUAAACGUUUGUAUGUCUUUGAAGCCAAGUCCUCCCAUUCCUUUAGGCUUUGUGAGUUUAUCCCAAGACAGCCAACACAUUUUCUUCUUUCCUGUGUUUGAAUCCCACCAAAAGCGUGUCAGCACUGACUGUAUCAAAUUGCAAAUGCCUACGGGUAGCAGGAAGCAUGUCAUAGCGUAGGAGGGGAUGGCGGAAAGCACUGCUUUGAGAAGUGUCAGUUUUCCUGCCGAUGAGAGAAAUCUUGUGGACAAAGAUGCAGCCUUGAUUUUAAUCCUGUUGACAAUGGAGUGGAACAGAUCCUUCUUCCGUCGGCCGAAAUGUUCAGGUAAGCCCAAGUAUUUCCCUACUCCACCCUCUUUUGUGAUCUCGAGAGUUCUUUUAACCUCAUUCCUUAACCUAGAAGAUGUUCUUGCAGCAAAGGAUAACGACGAUUUGUCUGUGUUGAUCCGCUGACCCGAAGCUUCUUCGUAGAGUUGAAGGAUGUUCUUCAGAGUGGUGCAACUUCGAUGAUCCGUGGGGAUAAAAAACAUAGUAUCAUCAGCGAAGAGUAAGUGAUUGAUGCUUGGGCUGUUUUUUGCUAUUUUAAUCCCCGGGAGUUUUCCUUCUCUUUGAGCCUUAGAGCACAACCCUGACAGAACUUCGCUGCAUAGGAUGAAGAUGUAGGGCGAAAGGGGGUCGCCUUGUCUUAUCCCUCUCUCUGGCUGGACGCACCCUAAGACCGCAUCAUUGACCAAGAAGGAGUACGAGACAGUAGUGAUACAUUCCAAUAUCCAGGUAAUGAAAUUAUCAUGAAAGCCCAAUGUAGCUAGAACACAUUUUAUAAACCUCCAUUCUAACCUGUCGUAUGCUUUGCUCAUGUCAGUCUUCACUGCCAUGGAGCAUCGCUUUCUUGAUUUGGUGGUCUUGAGAUAGUGGAGGAUCUCAUGCGUGAUGAGCACGUUAUCGGAGAUGGCUCGUCCAGGUACAAAAGCUGACUGAUUUUCCGAUAUGAUACUGUGUAGUAGAGGCUUGAGUCGUAAGGAGAGCAGCUUGGAAAUGACUUUGUAGUAAACGUUACACAACGCUAUAGGCCUGUAAUCUGAUACCAGUUUAGGACUAGGUAUUUUUGGGAUUAGUCUGAUAUGUGUAGAGUUUAGGGACUGAGGUAAGGAUCCAUGCUGAAAGAAGUUUUGGAUCUCCCGUAUGAUGGCAGGUCCCGUAGUCUCCCAAUUUGUCUGGAAGAAGCUGGCUGAGAAACCAUCAGGCCCCGGUGCCUUAUCCGGGUGUAUGGAAAAUAAAGCCUUUUUGAUCUCCGAUGCAGAUGGGAUUUCAAUAAGCAUUUCAUUCUGAGCUGCUGUGACUUUUGGAUUUAGAGCACUCUGAACAGUGUUCACGCAGUCAUGAGUAGAAGCAGUGAAGAUGCUCGCAAAAUAAUCAGCAAUCACAGAGGCUAUUUGAUCUUCUUCAUACACGAGUGUUCCAUCUGUUGCUUCCAAGACCGCUAAUCUGUUGCGUGCGCGACGACCACGGGCUGAGGCAUGGAAGUAGCCCGUGUUUCUAUCCCCUAGAGACAGCCAUUGUUGCCUGCUUCGUUGCCUCCAAUACUCUUCCUCUGCUCUGUAAGCCUGGAGAAGAGCAAAGUUCAAGGAGGAGAUCACUGGUUCAUCUGCAGAGGUCUUGGAGAGCUCAGAGUCUAGGCGGAAUUUCAAGUCAUCAAUUGCCUUCUUGCUAUUUAGGUACUGAUCCUUACUCCAUUUAGAAAUUGCCUUGCGGCAUUUAGAGAUUCUCUCCAUUACCUCUCCAUUGCCACUAUUUCUAAUGUCUAAUAGAAGCCUUUUCAGUCUUAAAAAAUAUAAGUCUGUAUAAUUUAUUUAUGACGUAUGUUAAAACUGUAAUGUAGUUCAACACAAAUAUAUUAGUAUAUUUUAUUUAACAUAUACAGUAUAAAUAAUUAUACGAAAACGAAGAUACAGUCUCAUACCAAAUAAUUGCAUCUCAUGCUCAUGCUUAAUUAUGCUGCUUCCCCACAUUCAAUCAUCAUUACACCAUUUUCUCAAUCUCCGCCAACCUUUUUCAGAAAAUACCCUACUUUGUACAAGUUUUAUAAUCUUAACUUUUUUCUCUAUGUUGAGUUUUUAAGUCCCUUGCGGAUUGAGUAUGAUACUCCGGUCGGGCGUUUCAUUAAUAGACUCCAAAAAGUCGACAUAAUUUUUUUGGAGUGGGGUUAAAGGGUUCAGGCCACUGCCACUCACAAUUGUAAAAAAAAAAGGAGAGAAGUUAAUCGUAAAAAUGUACAUAAACAUAAGGUUAUAAAUCCUAAUAUCAGCAGGAAGAUGUUAAUAGCUGUUUCAAAAUCAUAUGUUGUCGCAGAAACUGCGUCAUUAUGCUUAUUACCUACCACAUAUGCCGUCGCUAAAUACAUGAUUGUAGAAGGCAUGCAAUUUAAAAUAGCUCAAAUAUACAUGUUUAGAUUAGUCGUUUCUUGGGAAAUUUACAUAAUCGAAAAUAAUAACAACUUGAGAGUGGUGAAGCAAACAAUAAAAUGCAUACAUUCACCACUUGGAUGAAUUGUUGUGUUUAUGUUUGAUGUCUCGCGUUUUAAUUCUUAAGAACAUAUAACAUUUCAAAUAUGUAAAACCACACAUAAUAAUGAAACACGUCACAUGACAUAUGAAUGUAGUUGAAAAGGUCACUCACCGUUAUCAUCUCUAAAAUACUGUAAUUACUCAAUGAUCCAUAUUUUGAAAAGCCCAAUUUAAUAACAAGUUUUCACUGACCCGAUUCUUCCGGUGAACCAGGACCAAAAACCAUAGUUUUCGUACAGGUUGGGCUGUAAUGUAUUCCUUCACCCAAAAAUAGGUGGCCAUGUGUCGUCACACUCUUAGAUAUAGGUUCCAGCGAAAUACUAACGGCCAAGAUCUGUUUGCAUUCGAGCGAUAUAAAGGAAAGUUUCUUUGGCCUUUUAGAGACUUUUAACCCAUUCAGGGCUGGUGCAUUUCAGGAUCCAGUUUCUCUUUUUGUUCUUCGUUAAAAAAACUCACCAGGUGAGACUACCGUUUAUUAUUUGUAUGUUUUAACCAUCGAUUUCGGUUUACUUCCAUCGAAAUUGCUAAGAAAAAUCGAAUGUAUCGAAGAGUUUAGCUAGAAUGAUCAACUUAUACGUGUAAGGUUAUUUUUAUAUAGUAUGGCUCGUCAAAUGAAAAAUUCUUGGAAAUCUCAUGCUGCAUUGCGGCUUUCAUGGUGUAAAAUGAUCAGUAAAUAUGAAAGAUCGUUGAAUACUAUGGAUUUAGGAAUAGUUUAAUGAGAUUUAUAAUAAAAAUGUACUGGACGUGGCCACAUGAACGUUCAUUAGGAAUUAACGUGACCAUUGAUUAGGCCGUUGAUUCCAUUAUACAAAAAAAUGUUUUGUUACUAGUCUUGAUUUAUUAUAUACAGAGAGAUUGGAGAAUGGCCGACGGUGAAGACAUCCAACCGCUUGUUUGUGAUAAUGGAACUGGAAUGGUUAAGGUAGGUUCUUUAAAUUCUGUGUCACAUGACUUAUAUAUACCAUAAAAUACUGAAGUAAGAUCUGAGUUUAGGCUGGAUUUGCGGGUGAUGAUGCUCCACGAGCGGUUUUCCCGAGCAUUGUAGGCCGUCCUCGUCACACGGGAGUGAUGGUUGGGAUGGGACAAAAAGAUGCCUAUGUUGGAGACGAGGCUCAGUCAAAACGUGGUAUCUUGACUCUUAAAUACCCAAUUGAGCAUGGAAUUGUUAACAAUUGGGAUGACAUGGAGAAGAUUUGGCAUCACACUUUCUACAACGAGCUACGUGUUGCCCCUGAAGAACAUCCAGUUCUCUUAACCGAAGCUCCACUCAAUCCCAAGGCAAACCGUGAGAAGAUGACGCAGAUCAUGUUUGAGACAUUCAACACUCCAGCUAUGUAUGUUGCCAUUCAAGCUGUUCUAUCACUUUAUGCCAGUGGCCGUACAACUGGUUAGUAUCAAACACUUAAUUUUUUUUUUCGAACAUUCAUAAUGGUUGAUUAGCUUUGUGGUCGAGUGAUUCACUUUUUAAUUUUAUUGCUACUAGAAUUUAGCAUUCCGUUUUUAGGUUUGGUUUGUUUUUUUAGGUUUUAUGAAAACUUUUUUGCGCUAAAACCAAAUUUGUUUUUGGAUUUGGUUUAAAUAAACAAAUAAACAUAAUAUAAAUAUAAGUAACUAGUUUUUAUAUUAGAUAAUAUAUAUAUAUAUAUAUGUAUUUUCGAUAUAUACUUAACUAGAAGUAUAAUGAUUUAUUUACCUGCCUUGAACAAAAUUCUGUUCAGCUCGGUUAAAACAUUGUUACUACUAGAUUUUAACAAAAUUUGAUGUGAUCUUGAUUUGAAAGUUUCAUAAUCUUUUUGCAAUUGUUGGUUUAGGUAUUGUUCUGGACUCUGGAGAUGGUGUGAGUCACACUGUACCAAUCUAUGAGGGUUAUGCUCUUCCACACGCAAUCUUACGUCUUGACCUAGCGGGUCGUGACCUAACCGACUAUCUCAUGAAAAUACUGACAGAGCGUGGCUACUCCUUUACCACAACUGCUGAGCGUGAGAUAGUUAGAGACAUGAAAGAAAAGCUUUCUUACAUUGCUCUAGACUACGAACAAGAACUCGAGACUUCCAACACAAGCUCAUCCGUUGAGAAAAGCUUCGAGCUUCCGGACGGACAAGUGAUAACCAUUGGAGCAGAGAGAUUCCGGUGCCCAGAAGUUCUGUUUCAGCCAUCAAUGAUCGGAAUGGAAAAUCCAGGAAUCCAUGAAACAACAUAUAACUCUAUCAUGAAAUGUGAUGUGGAUAUUAGAAAAGAUUUGUACGGAAACAUCGUGCUAAGUGGUGGAACCACAAUGUUUGGUGGGAUUGGUGAUCGAAUGAGCAAAGAGAUUACGGCUUUGGCACCUAGUAGCAUGAAGAUUAAGGUUGUUGCUCCACCUGAGAGGAAGUAUAGUGUUUGGAUCGGCGGCUCUAUAUUGGCUUCACUCAGCACUUUCCAACAGGUGAAUGCAUAACAUAACUAACAUUUUCCGUUUUUGAUCUUAGUAUACACACUUAUCACAUUUUGAUUUAUGUAUUUGAAAUAUUACAGAUGUGGAUUGCGAAAGCAGAGUACGAUGAAUCUGGACCGUCAAUAGUGCAUAGAAAAUGUUUCUAAUUACAGUUCAUGAAAAAGAAGAUCACGAGAGUUAAAUUUAAUGUCUUUCUUUGAGUUCGGUUGUUUCAAACUAAAAUUAUAAAGAAAAUUUUUAAUUGAAAAUUGAGAAAUCGGUUAUUUCACACUUCAACACAUUUUAACGGUCCCAAUCAAGUAACAACAUGUGCAAAAACAAUCUUCAACAUUUGUUAAUUUAAAAUUUCAUGUUCUUAACUCUCACUUAAAUUAUUCUUUGUAAUUUGAUAAGAAGCAAGUAGACUCAAAGAAAGGCAUUAAUAUUUUAUUAUUAAUUGUGUAUACCACAUUAAUAGUGUUCUUUAUGUUUUUUAUUUGGGAAAAUUUCAUAAAAAUAUCUCAACUAAAUUUUGUUAAGUUAUUUAAUACCCAAUUUUUUUUUGCUAUCCAAUUUAAUACUUCAACUAAUUAUUUUGUCUAUUUUAAUAUACUAGUCAUUUUAAUAUCCAAACUAAGCUUAUUUUUAUCAAAAAUAUUAAAUAAGUUACAAACGAAUCUCUCAAAUUUCAAAACAAAUCUUAAAACAAUUUUUAAGUUAAUUUAACGUUUUUGAAUAAAAUAAAAUAAAGUAUGGAUAAUCUUAAUUUUUUAAUUUUAUUUUUGAUUUCAAUAUCAAAUUUAAUUUAUUUACUAAAAUUUAAAACGAAUUUGUUCAUUUUGAUUCAAAGUAAAGGUUUUUAAAAUUUGAAAUUUUCAUCUAAAUUUUAGUUAAUUUUAUUCCUAAAUUUUAAAAUAAACUUAAAUUUUUAAAAUAUUUUUUCUGAAUUUGAGAGAUUGAGUUUGAAACUUAAUAAUAAUUUUGACUAAAAUAAACAUAUUAAUUAUUUGAAAUAUUAAAUUAAAUAGAAAAAAAUUAAUAUUAAACAGUUUAACGAAAUUUAGUUGGAAUACUAUGGAUACAGAUAUGGUCAUGAUAUAUUCUCUAACUUUACGUUUAAUUUAGGUUUACGUUAAACCGAAGUGAAACCGGGAAACAGAAAAAAACAAACAACAAUUUUGAAGCAUCACAAAGAUCCUUCCUCGAAAUCGCUGCCGACAAAAUCUGCAAAUCUCAUUGGUGACGAGCAGCAAGAAUCCCUAAUUCAGGGGAGGAAGCGGAGAAGCAAUUGGUUGAGGGGAGAGAGCGUACGAAUCGGGAUGUCGAACGGUACGGAACAGACGCGGAAGCGUGCGGCGCCGGGAGACAGCAAUUGGUUGCCAUCUGGCUGGAGAGUUGAAGAUAAAGUUCGAACCUCCGGUGCUACUGCUGGUUCCGUUGAUAAGGUCUAUAAAAUCUCAUCUCUUUGCUCACUGCUACAGUGUUCGUAUGUAAUAAAGAUCUUGCCUUUAGAUAAGAUCAAUAGAUUGGUAUGAGUUUGGAGUUGUAUGUUAAUGGUCCUGUGUUUUGCAGUACUAUUACGAACCAAUCACGGGACGUAAGUUUCGAUCCAGGACCGAAGUACUCUACUACUUGGAACAUGGCACUUCUAAGAAAGGAAGCAAGAAACCAGACAACACUGAUUCCAGUUCUGACGUGAGUUAAAAAGUUUGAACCUUUCCACCGCAAACUCGUGAUUAUAAUAUGGGAAUCUUGUGUGUUGCAGCAUGUGGAAGGGCAAGGAAGCAAUAAAUCGAGCAGGAAAGCUAAAGAGCCAACACCGCCGCCACGGCCACGGUCGCCGCCUUUGAAGUUUGAUUUUGAGAAUCCGCCAGAGAAGGUAAGCUGGUCUGCUGCAAACGCGGGGGGAGAAGGUUGGACACCUUUUCUUGGGGACGACAAGGUUCAAGAUUCAUUGAGACGAGAAUGGUGCACUGCGUUUAACGUCGUCACGACCAAGAAUCCAACUAAACUGUCGUCGUUGAGACGAUGAUAGACAAAGGUGGCGAUGAUUUUUUGGGUUGUUGCGUCUGUUGUAACAUAGACGGGGAUGGUUAGUUAUUUAACUGGGCGGUGUUUGCUUAGUUUUCACAUAAGUUAAGUUAGUUUUGCACUCUAAUUUUCCUAGCUUGUUUUUUUGAGGAAUGUGAUAAUGGGAUUACACAUAAUCUGCGUUUGCGUUUGACACACUAUGGACAUCGCUUUUUGACACACAUUGAUUGAUAUGAAAAAUGUGUAAGACUACGGUGAAGAAGUUUUACAUGGAAGUGGUAAGACUAGAUGAUCACAGUUCAGGCUGUAGCUAUGUUGUUAGAGAGCUAAUGGAACGAUGAGGUAAAGCAAAAGGCGAAGAUGGAGGAAGCAAACGAGCUUGGUGAUGAAGCUACUGUUGAGUAACAAACAAAAGAGGUGUUGGCUGUUGAGAUUCAACAGUUGCACUACACUUGAUUGAUAUGCGAGGAUGGUUUUGCUUGCUCCUUCGACUUCAAAAGUGUAAGAUUCCUCCACAUAUGAGAGGAUUUACUCCAAAAAGUCUGGGUGUGCACAAGGAAAAUGAAUAUUACAAGCAUUACUCCAUCUCCAAGGCAAGCAAGAUAGAUAACAGAAUAUUGACAAUAAAAUGAUAGACAAAAAGCGUCUGUAGUCCAACGGUUAGGAUAAUUGCCUUCCAAGCAAUAGACCCGGGUUCGACUCCCGGCAGACGCAAACUAUUUUUAACUAAUUCUUUAAAUUAGAUUUUCAAAUUUGAAAGUUGAAACAAUGCCACGGAGGAUUUUUAUACAUCGUUUCGGUAGUGAAAAAGAGUCAGAAAUGCGUGUUUUUGUGGAUGUAAGCAAUAAAAUCUGGUGGAUGUUAAGCUUAAAUUUGAAUGGUGCUACUUUUGCUUUUUUUGACCUUAACGCUGUAUAAUAAAUUAGUACAGAGACAUCUGAGUACCAAUUUAGCAAUUCUUGGACUCUAAACCUUCUCCAUGCAGCAGAGGCUUCCGUUUUAGUCUUGUGCCCCAAGUUUUUUAAAAAGUUAAAACAAAGGUUUCUGCGUCGUGUUGGUCUUGGCUAUCUUUUACCCUCUCUGUUUGUCAGAAUUUACAGGAUUGCCACUGAGGUUGCUUGCAUUGUCUUUAUCUACAACGUCCCAACAAUUUACUGAGGGAAGAGGAAGAGACUUUUGAGCGUAGCAACACACACACAGUUUCUGUGAUUCACUAGCAAAAGCACAUCGGAGAAAAAGGUAUUUGCUUUUUAUUUAGUAAAAUGCAUCCUUCUCUUUCACAUCCUCAAGUUUGAUUGUUUUCUUUCUGAUAAAAUCUAGAAAAUAAAAAAAAAGGUUUUUUUUUCUUCACAACAAGUCAUUUCUUUUUGUUCUCUAUUCACUUUCAUGUUUGUAGAUGUGAUAAAACAAGACUGUGGAUCAAACAUUUCUUCAGUUUUUGUUUUGUCCUGAUCUAGAGAAUAAGAAAGGUAACAGCUUUAGGUCUUCGUUGCCCUAAAGAACCUGACUUUGGUCUUAUGAGUAGCUAAAAUCUUUGGAUUAUCUAUUUCUGCAAAGCUUUUUUCCUAAUAAAACCAAAAAGGUUUGUCUUUUUACUCAUAGUUCAUGCAAAAUCAAAACUUUGAUGCUCUAGAAACAUGGAAAGUAACCAAGUCUUUUCAUUUUUGGUUGUAUCUUGCGUUCUCAUAUGGGUUCUCUUUGUUGAACCUCUAAGAUGGAGAAGCAGGAGUUUUCAGUUGGAGAUUCGUCCGGAGAGACAAAGAAAAGUGAGUGUACUGAAGAGAAGUUUGUCUGGCCAUGGGUUGGUCUUGUAGCUAACAUACAAACGGAGGUUGAUAAAACUGGUCGGAGAGUUGGGAGAAGCGGUUCAACGUUCCGUGAUGAGCUCAUCGAGAAGGGGUUUGAUCCAACAAGAGUCCAACCCAUCUGGAACUUCAAGGGACACUCUGGUUUCGCCUUGGUGGAGUUCACCCGAGACAUUAAAGGGUUCGAGAACGCCAUGAACUUCGAGAGGAGUUACAAAUCAGACGGCCAUGGCAAGAAAGAUUGGGAGAAAGGUAACAACAACUGCUUCUUCUGAGGUUUGAGGUCGUUUUGUUUGCUAUCUGACAUUUAAAAGUUUCUUUCUUUUUUUGGAAAAGGUGUUCACUUGAGAGAUGAUAAGCCAUACGGAUGGGUCGCUAGAGAGGAAGACUACAACCGAGGUGGGAUUGUUGGCAAGAAUGUUAAGAAGAAGAGAGACUUGAAAACUUUAUCACAGCUUCAAGAAGAGGAGGAAAGAAAGAUGGUUCAGCUUGUUGAAAGCAUGUCUCAGUCCAUUGAGAUGAAGAUAAUAAGCAAGCAAGAGCUCGAACACAAAGUGGAUGAGACUUCUCGUGUUCUGGAGAGUGUGGAGUUGCAUAACUAUCAGCUAAACGAAACGUACAAACAAGGUAUGAAAACACCUGAACUAGUCUUACAACAUAAUGUUACUUGUUUGGUUGUUGACAUAGUUAUUUUUGUAUUCUUGAUGAGAAGAGGUUGAGAAGAUGCACACGAACUUGCAAGGGCUGUAUCAGCAGAUUCUGGCAGGACAUGACAAGUCUAUGUCUGACCUGGAGACAGAGAGGGAGAAGCUGGAGAAUCGUGCGAGGCAGAUCUACAUUAACGAAGCUGAGAUGGAAAAAUCCAGACUCGAAAUAGAAAUGGUGAAUGAUUCUUUCUUUCUUUCUUUCUAAAUUAGACCAAAAGGAAUCAUAUAACAGAGUUAAAAUCUGUUACCUUUUUUUGUUCUUACAGAAUCAAAAGGCUAUGAUGGAGCAGAAUGAAGCGAACAUGGAAGCCAUGAAGCUUGCAGAGAAGCACCAGGCAAGUACUUCUUUAGUUUGACUGUAUAUUCAUGAACAACAUAACCCAAUAACAUGAAAACUUUUUGCAGAAAGAGAAGGAGAAGCUUCACGAGAAGAUAAUGGAAAUGGAAGCGAAACUAAACGAAACACAAGAGCUGGAGCUGGAGAUAGAGAAGCUGAAAGGCAGCACCAAUGUGAUGAAGCAUAUGGCUGGGAGUGAUGGAGAUGGGGAGUUGAUGGAGAAGAUGGUCAAGACUCAGAUGGAGCUAGAGGCUAGAGAAACAGCUCUACAUGAUAAGAUAAUGGCUGUGACACAAAAAGAACGUAUGGCCAACGACGAGUACCAGGAGGCUAGGAAAGAGAUGAUUCAGGUACAAAACAAAAACAAUAAUCCAUUUGUGUGUCCUUUUAGCUGAUCAUAUUAAUUUGAUGAGCAGUUCUGGAAGGAGAAUGAGGAUUUGGUGAGUGGGGAGGAGAUAAGAGUGAAGACGAUGGGGCACUUAGACACGAAGCCGUUUCUGCUAGCAGUGAAGAAGAAACUUAGAUGUUCAGAAGCAAGAGCAGGGCUAAAAGCUAUGGAGUUGUGUUCAUUUUGGGAAGGACAAAUUGGAAAUGUGCAUUGGCAUCCAUUUAAAGUGGAUGAAUCUGAUGGAAUCGCAAAGGUAUGGAUGGACUUAAAACAUAUUUGAUUUUUGAACAUUUCCUUUAUUAUAUCUCAAGAUGUCUUACAUGUGAAAAUUGCAGCUAGUGGUUGAUAAAAACGAUUUGAAGCUGGUUAAGCUGAAGAGUGACUACGGUGAGGAGCUUUACAAUGAGGUGGUGAGAGCGAAAGUGGAGAUAGUGGAAUACAACCCGAGUGGUGGCUAUGUGGUUUCGGAGAUGUGGAACCUUGAGAAGAACCGAAAGGCCACGAUGGAGGAAGGAACGGAUGUGAUGUUGAAGAUGAGGAAGAAGCUCGUGGCUAUGAAGAACAAGCGAAAGAGGCGUUGAGAAAAAAGAUGUCAAGAUCUAUCUACUUGAGCAAAAUAAGACUGAACUUAAGGAACUAUGUGAAGUGGUUUUUGGCUUUUGGAUAUUGCAAUGCUCCUUCUUUUCUUACAGACAAGUUUAAAUUAAUGUGCUAUAGUACUGUGAUUGAUUUUGCCAGUUUAUCUCCCAAUUAUUGUGCUUUGUUCUCUCUGCUUAUAACUUGAAGCACAAGGAAUGUUUAGAAACUGUGUGCUCGUUCUUUUGUUUUUAGUAAAGAACUGUGUAUUGUGACAAAAAAAACAAAAAGUAAAGAAUUCUGUAAGUAAACAAUUGUAAACAAGAAGCGUCUGUAGUCCAACGGUUAGGAUAAUUGCCUUCCAAGCAAUAGACCCGGGUUCGACUCCCGGCAGACGCAUUUUUUUAAUUUCAAUAACUUGACGUCAGACAAAACGACGUCGUACAAUUUUACUAAGAAGGAAAAAUAUUAUAAACCCGACAAAAUCGAAUCACACCGUUCUAAGGGUAUUAUCGUCCAACUAAAAAUGUUAUCCAUGGUUAAGACAAUCAUCACAAGCCGCACAUAUUAGUAAACGCAUGUUGCGUGCACGCGCCGAAUCGUAUCGUGUGGCCACCAUUUCUAGAACCGAACAGCCUCCACCACACGCUUCUUCUUCUUCUUCUUCUGUUUUGUCUUUUCGGUUUUCUUUCCCCGGCGAGGGAUAGAUAUUUUUGUUUAUCAUGGCGGGCACUUGCAGCUCGAUAAGGCCACCACGCCUCAUUGGUUCUUGUUCGAGUCUUGAGCUUUCCAGGUUGAUCGAUCGAGCUGGAGUUCCUUUCUCCGUUCGGAUCUCUACCAGAAGAAAGUCCAUAACAAGAAGCCAAGGAGGUGGUUUCACCGCACCUGUCUCCUCACGUGAGGAAGGUCCUUCUUGCAUCUUCGUCGGUCCGAUUGAUUCCGCAAGAAAAGAAACUCUAGAAGCUCUUUACCGCCAAGUACGCCUACUCAACUCUCUUCUUCUUGAAGUUUGUCUCUGUGAUUGUUUAGUGAAGUGAGUUUUUUGAAUUAGGCGAAGAAUGCUUACUACAAUGGGAAACCUUUGAUAGUUGAUGACAUGUUUGACAGAGUCGAGGUAAGACAACAGUUACGUGUAGCAUAAUAUAGUUUCUAGCAAAGAUAUGGUUUUUAGAACUCUUGACUCAUGCAGCUGAAGCUUCGGUGGUAUGGUUCGAAGUCUGUUGUCAAGUCCCCUCGGUGCAGCCUCCUGCGACAGUCAACUUAUGCUGAUGCAGAGGUACACUUUAGGGAGUUCAUAUUUCAAUUUACUUCUCUUGAAACAUAUUUUUUGAGAUUUGGGAUUCGUUUAAUUAUAUUAGCUUUUCGGUUUUAAGAAGGUCAUCCAUGAAACAUAUCAUAUCUCGUGUUCAUGUACCAUUUGUUAUUAUAGCGUGAAAGCAUCAACUUCAUUGUUUACUAGGAUUAGUAUUAUGAUAAUUGUUUUCUUUUUUUGAGUGGUGAAGAAUGAUUUUGUCAAGGGUUGAUAUUGAGUGGAAUACUUUUUGUAGGACAGGAUGAUGCAUCACAAGUUCUCCUGUUAGCUACCAUAUGGAUCUUGAUUCUCUUGUUUGGUAGCUCAGCAUGUGUUUUGCCCACCAUUUAUGGCCUCGGCUUAGUCUAUGGAGGAGAUCCUUUCAACUCAGGACUUGUCUACAGCAGCUCGUCUUCUGUGCCUCUUCUGUCAAAGUUGAAUGGUAUCCUCCUCACCGUGCUAGGACCUGCUUUUGGAUAUCCUAUUGCAUCUUCUGCAGGUACACCAGAAUGCAAUGGAAAUAUGAUUUUAAACCUUAUAAAGUUUACUUUUACUGAGGAAAGAAUGGUGUUGGCAGUAAGGGUUCUUAAAGGGCUAUGGAGAAAUGACUUAACCGCUCUAAAAGGAGACUGUCCAAAUUGUGGGGAGGAGGUCAAACUCUUUACUUGUCAACAAAAAUUACGACACCGUCUUCUUUUCUUUUUUCAGUUUUAGUCGCACGUUUUAGCUUGAUGGACCUUGGUGUAGGUUUUUGCGUUUGUGAGAUCCGACCAAUCAAACAAGUCAGCUCACAAAGCCGACUGUCAUGUCUGUGAAUGCACCCUGGAGUUCCGUACCAAAGUGGAGGUAAAAGAAUGACAUGAACCAAUCACUGCCUUGGAUAGUCCUAUGUAGCUCUGUUUCUAAUGACUGUUUGGUUUUUUUUGUGUGUGUUGCUGCUUCAGAAAUCUGCGUCACUAUUGGGUAGAAAAUGGGUAUACGGCAGGAUAUACCUUGUUUCACGUCCCAGGAGAGGUCGGCGUUCCAAGUAUACAUAGUUCUGAUCAAAGACGAGAGAAUUUUUUGGGGAUGGGUCUCUCUACUCAAUUGUCUAUUUAUUUUAAAAAAGGUUACUAGAAAGCUUUUGUAACAUUCAAAAAGUUCAAUAUAUCUGUAACUAUAAACGUUUCUACACACUUGAAAGUAUAGUGUUUUUGGAGAAUUUUCUUGUUCAUCAUCAUAAUUUUAGGAAUGAGCUGUAUCACAUUUUAGAUCUGAUGCCCUCAAAAUAUUAUUUUUAUAUUGUGGACCUUUUUGUAGACUAUUCAAAAAGUAUUCCUUACUACUAAAAAAAAUGAUAAGAGUCCAUUCUGGCGACUAGGAUAAUUCUAAUUUAUCUCAAUGAUCCCACUUUAUUUUUCACUGUAAAAUAAAAUUUAAAGUAAAAAUGCUUCAAUGGUACUCUAUUUCUCACUCUAUAAUAGAGUGAAAAAUAGGUUUAUUCUAAAUAUAGAGUAAUUUUUUUUUAUACCAUUGGAACAAAUUUAAACUCUAUUAUAGAGUUACUCUAUUUUAGAGUAAAAAAUAGAAUAAGCCAUUGGAGAUGGUCUUAAGAAAAUAAAAUAAUUACCAUUCGCUCCCUCUAAUUAAUAAGACUUAAGUCUUAAGCCAGGAAGUUAAUUUACUUCCAAUAAUUUACAAUAUCAAGUCCCCAAUAUUUACGUAAAUUACAGAUCAAACCCGUUUCUCCAUCCUUUUUUUUAGUCUCCCCCUUCCUGUAAAGCUUCCAAAGCUUUUCCCUUUUUAUUUCAUCAAAUUCUCUGGAAAUCAAAAACAGAGUCAGAGAUCAUCAGGUUUGAAAAGAAAGAAAAAAAAAAAGAAGAAGAAGAAGAAGAUGGGGAGUCCAAAGAAGAACGAGAACAAGGGCUUCUUCGCCGCCAUGACUUCCGGCUUCUCCAUGUUCGGCAGCGCCAUGUCCAGAUCCGUCAACGGGUAUGUUUCCUCUGUAUCUUCAUAGAAGCCUUAUGUGAUGUAUUACUAUUUUUGAUCCUUCAGGUGUUUUGUUUUAUUUAAGUUGUAUUUAUUACAAAACAUGGGUGGGGGAUAUGAUACUAUAAUUAAUUCCUUCACAAGUCAACAAAACAGAUCAAGUUGUCUGAAAUUUUUCUGCAUGUUCGUUUCACUCUCAUAAGUGAAUUAUAUGUGUGUUAUAGAUCCUUCUGAUUGAGUGUUCAAUUCAAGUUGGUUUUUUGGGCUAAUGGGCUGUUGUUUCGAUACGAUUUAUUUUUCAGGUUGCUUGCUUAUGAAGGAGUUGAGGUUAUCAAUCCAGAUGGUGGUAAGGAAGAUGCAGAAGAGGAAGCUCAGAGAGGAAGGUGGAAAGACGAGGUUUACUACUUACUACUUCUCCUUCGAUUUUUCUUUCUUUUCUUGAUUUCAACUUUUGCGGAAACUUAUCAUUUUUUUGUGUGCUUUAACAGGAACGUGAUAGUUACUGGAAGAUGAUGCAGAAGUAUAUAGGUUCCGAUAUUACCUCAAUGGUCACACUUCCUGUUAUUAUUUUUGAGCCAAUGACUAUGCUCCAGAAGAUGGCUGAGGUUAUUAGUCUUCUAUCUUAUUCUUAGAUUUUGUUAUUUUUUAGAAAGAUUUAAGAUUUCUAUGAACAUUUCUUGCAGUUAAUGGAAUAUUCAUACUUGCUGGAUCAAGCUGAUGAAUGCGAGGAUCCUUACUUGCGUUUAGUAUAUGCUUGUAAGUCUACAUUUUCAACUUGUUUUGACUUUCAAAUUCUGUGGUUGAAUGUGAUGUUAUGUGUUCAGCAUCAUGGGCUAUAUCUGUUUACUUUGCCUACCAACGAACGUGGAAGCCUUUCAAUCCUAUUCUUGGAGAGACAUAUGAGAUGGCCAACCAUGGUGGCAUUUCAUUUCUUUCUGAGCAGGUGCAGCUGCUACACACUUCAUAGUGUAUAAUACAGCUAGGUUGCAAUUUGGUUGUCUAUGAUGACUCAAUUAUAAUGUAAUUUUGUUUUUUUUUAAUUUCAGGUUAGCCAUCAUCCCCCAAUGAGUGCAGGUCACGCCGAGAACGAGCACUUCACUUACGACGUCACCUCAAAGUUGAAAACUAAGCUUUUGGGUAACUCUGUUGAUGUCUACCCUGUUGGCAGGUAAUUUUGUUACUAUUUAUGAUCCGCUUGGCUCUCUCUUCAUCAAUAUUCUGUUUAUGCUUUCAUCUAAGCUCAUGAUGCGGCCUGUCUAUUGGCUUGCAGAACGCGUGUAACCCUCAAAAAAGAUGGUGUGGUUCUUGAUCUGGUGCCGCCUCUCACUAAGAUUCACAACCUGAUAUUUGGACGAACGUGGGUUGACUCACCCGGAGAAAUGGUCAUGACAAAUAUAACCACUGGAGACAAAGUUGUUCUUUAUUUCCAGCCAUGUGGUUGGUUCGGGUAAACUGACAACCACAUUUCUUUAUCUUAUCCUUAUUGUUUUGUGAUAGUCUGUUCAUGUGAUUCAGACAUGCUUAUUGAUAAAAGUGUGUACUUCCAUUGAUCUCAGUUCUGGUCGAUAUGAAGUGGAUGGAUAUGUUUACAGCGCAGACGAAGAACCUAAAAUCAUGAUGACAGGAAAAUGGAAUGAGAAAAUCAGCUACCAGCCUUGUGAUGCUGAGGGUGAACCUCUUCCAGGGACAGAGCUUAAAGAGGUCUCCUGUUUGUUUUCCUUUUACCACAUUGUUUCGCCCUUUAGUAUUUUUUAUGCCUUUUUUUGUUUUGUUUUGUGUUGAAUCCUUCAGGUGUGGCAUGUAGCUGAUGUUCCCAAAAACGACAAGUUUCAGUACACGCACUUUGCUCACAAGAUAAACAGCUUUGACACAGCUCCUUCUAAGCUCUUGGCUUCAGACUCACGUCUCCGUCCUGAUAGAUAUGCCCUUGAACAGGGUGACCUUUCUAAAGCUGGUUCCGAGAAGCACAGGUUCUUCAUCUUUUCUUCCUUCCUAAUAAGCUUGUUUGUCACAAAGUUCAAGUCUUUUAUUUCGUGGUGUCUUUUUUUUUAAUUCAGCCUUGAGGAGAGACAAAGAGCCGAAAAGAGGACACGAGAGACAAAGGGACAGAAGUUCACACCAAGAUGGUUCGAUCUAACGGAUGAGAUCACAUCUACGCCAUGGGGAGAUAUUGAAAUAUACCAAUACAACGGGAAGUACACUGAACACCGAGAUUCAGCAGCGAGCUCGAGCGGGGCUUCCAAUGCAGAGGACCUCAAAUCGAUCGAGUUUAAUCCAUGGCAAUAUGGUAAUGUAUCAACCGAAUGAGGCAACGUCUCAUUAUUUUAAUAUAUGACAUCGACAUACUCAAUGGUGUGGUUCAUGGGACUCGUGAAGAUGAGUUCAAAGUUGUUUUAUACUUUGUUCCAGGGUGAAAAAGUCUGAUUACGUAGUUUGAGUGGUGAAACAUAAGAUUGUGUUUGUCUUAUUGUAUCCUUGUUUCCAUCUCCAUUCAAAAGUAAUUGUGUUUGUCAUGCUUCUAUUAUUUAGAGAUAUUUGGUCUUCUCUUUGUUCAAUUUAAGUUUCCAUUCGAGUAAAUUCGCAUACUUGUGUCCUCGUAACAUCUCCAUAGAAACUAGAUUUUAUACAAGUUGUCUUAUAAAAUCAUAAUUUGUAUGUCCUCUUCGAAGUUUGUUUAUCUUUUUUUUCUUUUAUGGUUUAAGUGUGUUUUUCAAUUUCUUCUACGUAAAUGUCACCAAAAAGAGUCUUAAAACAAUAAACUUUAAAUUGUGGUCAGAUGAAAUUAAUAAAACUUUAUAAUAUUAUGUACCAACAAACCAUGCAAAACAUCUUUUUUUGUGUGUGUGUUCAACUCAUGCAAAAACAUCUAAAAACGGUUGUUACAAGAGAGAGAGUAAGAUUCAAAAACAAAGAAAGGAGACGUUGCAUUGCAUUAUUAACUUUUUGUUUGCGUCUGUGAAAAGUAGAUAAGAGGGAGUAAAAAAAAAGUUUGACAGCUCUGUUCUAGGAAUCAUUGACGUCAGCGACUUCUUGCAUGCAUUAAAGAGUGAGAGACGAGGUUGCCUCAUUUCUCUAUUUUGUCGCAUUCAAAAAGAUAUUGAAGGAGAGAGCUAUAGGCAAUAAAAGAGCUGGACAGCUAUCGUACUAAUUGUGUUCUUAUUACCACGGUAACAAUUCAAAGAAGGAAUGCAAUUAUUUUAACAGUGGUUAAAAUGUUUAAAAGAUCAUAGAAGUAACAUUAAGCAAGCGGAUGACCAGUCAAAGAGCCGCCUGUUUCGUCUUAUAUCAAACAACAAAAUCAUAAUCCAUUUCUACGCAAACAAGAGAGAGAGAAAACACAGAGAAAGAAGAAGAAGAAAGAGAGAUGGCUGCAUACAUUGACAUGUCGAGGAUUCCUUACAUCCCUGGUCUGUCUCUUUCUUUCUUUAUUUCUCUUUGUCUAUUAGUCUCCCUUAUAACAAACAUUUGUUCAUGUUUCAAAGUUAUAAACAAUUGAAACGUCUCUUGACAUGAAACUUGUUGCAAAGAUUUAAUCUUUUCAUGGAAAUAAAGUUUCAUUCUUUAUUGAUCUUAGUCUUAGUACUCUCUUCUUUGGCUCUAUUUAACAUGAAACUUGUUACAUAGCUCUCCUCCAUGAAGAAUAAAGUUUCCUACUUUCUUUGACUCUCUCUGUCUGCAAAAUAUUAUUUAAUAAUUUACAUAAAAUAUGCAUAAACUCAUAAAAGUCAAAACUGAGAAUAAAUAAUAUAAAAUAAAUAUAAUAUAAUAUAAAUAAGUAAGUAAUUUAAUAAUUAAUUCGGUAAAUUGUUUUCGAAACUACUAAAAUCGAUGAAGUAUUAUUCAAACUGAAUAUAUGCGUUUUUAAUAUUGUAGGUCAAAAUUUUGAUUGAUAACAUUUGUAUUUGUUGAACUUGAUAUAUGCACAAACAAUGGGACCCAAUACAUAAUUCAAAUUACAAAGCAAAUUUUUUUUUUCUUUACGUUCUUUUAAUGCAUAUAAAUAUUUUUGAAUUAGGAUGGAGUCUUGAGGAUGAUUCUCGCAAGGGUCAAAGUGAAGGACCAUGACAAGAAAUGUACUCGCUUUUUGCCUCCUAACACAGGUUCGAAUCCCUUCAAAAUCACACCUUUUUGUGUAUUAUUAUCCAUUAUUAUAAUAUUACUCUUCGUUUGUUGUCGUUUUUAUAGGCAAAUCUGGGAGAUACGAUGUGAAUUCAUUUAACUGUGUUGAAGUGGAGGGUCAUCCCUUUGUGGUGAAAGGUCGCAAGGACACGUUGGCUUCCCACCGAACGUCUGAUGGAUGUUAUCACUUCUCGGUGGAUAUGCCUGGUGUUUGCGGCGAUGACAUGUUCGUGAUUCCCAACGAGAACGAGAUCAAGUUCUAUGGUGAGAACAAGGAGGUGUGCAUGAGCACGAUGAGAGUUGCCGUAUUUUCCUUGGAGCCGUCAGCAAUGUUCAAUGCUGUUCCUAUGGGAUUCCGCUUUUGAGCCACAACAUCGCUUGGGAUGCAGAGUUUGGUGUUCUCAAAGUGCGUGUUUCACCACAAUGAGUAAUCAAUCAUCAUCACUCUUAAGUAGAUUAUCUACUACGAACGUUUUUCAUAUAUGUCCUGUCUGUUGGGAGACUUUAUGAUUUUUGAACUACUAGUUGUGUGUUUUAAGUUGAGACUGAGACUAUUGUUAUGUGUGUCUCCUGCUUUUGUGUUUCUUGCUGUGACCAGUCAUGUUCAUUGCUUUCACAAUUUCUAAUUUUUUUGUUCCCUUUAAGCUGAUGACUCAAACCGAUUAGAACUUGAAUUUUCAAAACACAAAAAUCUGAGAAGGAAAGGUUAUAGGAAACCUCAUGAGAAGUGACUCAUGAAGCAUUUCUCUUCGAAACAUAUGGGCUGUUGAAUCCUCGUCCUAGACUCCUCGAAUUUUGUAAUCUCACAAGUCAUUUGCUCAGUGUUCUAUGGUGGUUGAACACCAUUCCUCCCUAAAGAAAGAGCAAGUCCAGACCUAAUAAAUGUAUAAUAAAAAAAAAAUGUCCUAAACAGACUUAGCAAUGAAAAACUUACAUGUUAUGAAAAUAUGGUAUCAACGCAAAGGAGAGCAUGUGACAUGAAUAUAGCCUUUCAUAUUCAAAAUUGCUGAACAAUGUGUGACAAAAGUAGCCACGGAUUAAUAUAUUUCAUUUCUUUCUGAGCAGAUGCAUCAUCUAUUCACUUCAUUGCUAUCAGUUAGUUUGCAACUAAUUAAAGGUGUCCAUCUCGACUCAGUUAUAAUAUAAGUUAAUUUGUGUUUUAUUUCAGGUUAGCCAUCAUCCCCCAAUGAGUGCUAGCUGGUCACGCCGAGAACGAGCACUUCACUUAUGACGCACCUCCAAGUUGAAAACUAAGCUUUUGGGUAAUUCUGUUGAUGUUUACCCUGUUGGCAGGUAAUUUUGUUACAAUUUAAGAUCCUCUUCUCUCUCUCACACACACUUUGUUAGAGGCUCUCUUAAUCAAGAAGGAAACUUCUUGCUGCAUAGUAUUCUGUUUAUGUUUUCAUAUAAGCUCAUGCAGCUUAUAUAUCGUCAAAAAAGAUGCUGUGGAUUUGGUACCGCCUCUCACUAAGGUUCACAACCUGAUAUUUGGACGAACGUGGGUUGACUCACCCGGAGAAAUGGUCAUGACAAAUAUAACCACUGGAGACAAAGUUGGGCCCUGUUCGUUUGCUCACCCAGGUGAUCCAUCUGGGUGAAGAUGCAAAUUGAUGUUCGUUUAGUGCAUUAUAAUGCUACAUCUAGAUGGAUCACCCAGGUGAACUCAUCUCAAAUUCUCACCCAAAUGAAGGUGAGUCUUGAUGGUGCAUCUGGAUGCAGAUGCAUCUAGUUCAGUCCAAAAUAAUAAAUGACAAAAAUGACUUUUUAAAAUCAAAAUAAUAUUUUCAAACCGUAAAUUCUAUUUUUUCCCACCAAAACCGAAAAACGCAUUUUCCCGCCAAAACCGGAAAAAUGUAUUUUACCGCCAAAACUGGAAAAACGCAUUUCCCGCCAAAACCGGAAAAUUGUAUUUUUCCCGCCAAAACCGGAAAAUGAAAUUUUACCGCCAAAACCGGAAAAAGUAUUUUCCCGCCAAAAUCUUGAAAAAAAAACUUUUCAUACAAAACACUUUUCCCGCCAUGCUAUUUUUCCGCCGAAACGUAAAAAAUUAUAUUUUAGUCAUUUUAUUAACAAGUCCACCUAGAUGCAGAUGAAAGUUAAAAAAUGAUAAGCAAACGAACAUAGUUGCAUUCAGAUGAUUCAUUUGGAUGCAUGGACGAAAUGAAGAAACGAACAACACCCAGAUGGAGCAUCUGGAUAAGACAUCUAGAUGGACCAUCUGGAUGCAUCUUCCAGAUGUACAAACGAACAGGGCCUUGUUCUUUAUUUCCAGCCAUGUGGUUGGUUCGGGUAAAUUGACAACCACAUAUACUCUUAUUGUUUUGUGAUGCUCUGUUCAUGUGAUCCUGACAUGUUUAUUGAUAAAAGUGUGUACUUCCUUUAAUCUCAGUUCUGAUCGUUAUGAAGUGGAUGGAUACGUGAACCCCUUCCUGGCACAGAGGAGGUUAAAGAGGUCUGUCCUUUGUUUCCCUUUUACCACAUAGAACCUGAUAGUAUUUUCUUAUGCCUUUUUUGUUUUGUUUUGUGUUGAAUCCUUCAGGUGUGGCAUGUGGCUGAUGUUCCCAAGAAUGACAAAUUUCAGUACACCCACUUUGCUCACAAAAUUGGCUUCAGACUCACGUCUCCGUCCUGGUAGAUAUGUCCUUUCUAAAGCUGGUUCCGAGAAGCACAGGUUCUUCUUCUUUUCUUCCUUCCUACUCGCUUGUUUGUCAAGUCUUUUAAGUUUUUUUUUUUAUAGGAAAGAUACUUUGAGGAUUGGUUUUUGUAUAAAUAUCAUCAAUGAAUCCUUGUUAGAGCAUGAACACACAGUUAUGCUCUGCAUACGAGGUUCUUCGCGGUGUUUUUUUUUUUAAUCUCAGCCUUGAGGAGAGGCAAAGGGCCGAAAAUAGGACACGAGAGACUAAGAACCAGAAGUUCACUCCAAGGUGGUUCGAUCUAACGGAUGAGAUCACAUCUACGCCGUGGGGAGAUAUUGGAAUAUACCAAUACAACGGGAAGUACACUGACACUGAGAUUCAGCAGCGAGCUCGAGCGGUGCCUCCGAUGAAGUGGACCUCAUCGAUCGAGUUUAAUCCCUGGCAAUAUGGUAAUGUAUCAACCGAAUCAGGCAACGUUUCAUAAUUUAAAUAUAUGACAUCGACAUACUAGUGUUGUUUGAUUACGUAGUGAAAAUGAGUUCAAAGUUGUUUUAUAAUACUUGUUCCUGGGGGAAAAAGGUUUGAUUACGUAGUUUGAGUGAUGAAACAUUAGAUUGAGUUUAUGUCUUAUUGUAUCUUUGUUUCCAUCUCGAUUCAAAAGUAAUCAUGUUUGUAUGCUUCUACGUUUUAGAGAUAUGUAAGUCUUCUGUUCCAUUUAAGGUUCCAUUUCGAACAGAUUACUAUACUUAUCUCGUAAAAGGCGUCAUACUAAUUAUAUUUUAUACAAAACUCUCUUACAAAAACAUCAUUUGGAGGUGUCUUUGAAACAUUUGAUGAUCGAAUUUAAAUUAAUAUAAAUGUUCCAAAACAUUAUCAAUACAUAAAAAAGAUAGAGAUGGCUUUAGUAUCCUCCUGUAGAUCAAGUUUAGUGGAAGCUUCAUAAUAUUAGACUUUAAAUGCGAUUUUGUAACGAAUUCAACGUAUUGAAUUGACUAUUGACUAGUGGAAUGCUUUCACUAAGUACAUAUAGAUGGAAUAAACAUUAUUUGAUGAUGUAGUUAAUAUAUUAUAGACGAAUAAAUAGCUUUAAUAGAAAAACAUCAACCAUGAAGCCUUGGACGUUUUAGAAAGAGAUUCGUUCUCUCGUUUCUCUUAUCAAUGAACAUACAAAGAAUACACAACUAACUAAUAUGGAUUUUUUUUUUUUUUUGAACUAACUAAUAUGGACUUCAUCAUGUGCUGUGUUUGUUAUAAGAAAAAGAAGGUUUUUUUUCGAGUUUUCAUUUAUGACACUGGUCAUGUGUCUAUUUAAUUGCGGGAAAAAGUAUUACUAUGAGCCGUCUUGUGAGCAUGCCGUCAUAUUUGAUAGUCAAGUUACAUAAAACAUAUAGAAGUGUUGUGAAUCAUCUCUUCUACGUCGACCAUGUCUCCUAAAGUUUCCUCUAACCUUCAUGUACUUUCCCCUUUGUCUUCAUACGUCAAAUGUAAUUAUCCUAACUUUUGUGGUCUUAAUUUCUCUAAGCAAAGGCAAAAUUCACAACACAAAUUGCAAACGGCGAUUUUUUUAUAAUAUUCACAAUUUUUUCGUUGAGUUUCACUGUAUUUUAAUUAUACACGUAAAAAAAAUACCAUCUAUAAACAUAAAUAUAUGUAUAAAACAGUUUAAAGACGAUCUUUUCUACGUAUAUGCUGCUAGUUACGAACUUUGAAUCGUUUAUAUUAUAUUAAAAUUAUUGCUAUGCGUCGACUCCACUUUUUCAAUAUUCAACUGCCAUAUAUCAGCUAUUUUGUAAUAUUCACAUAAUUUUAUUUUAGUCAUCAGUCACCAUCGAUAAAAGCUUAGGGCAUCUCCAACCCUACUCCAUUUUUGACUCCAAACUCAAUUUUGGAGUAAAAUCUUCUCAAACCCCACUCCAUAUUCAACUCUAAAAUGGAAUAAUAGCUAGGGUUACUCUAUUUAUGGAGUAAUUUUACCCAUUACUCCAUUAUGGAGUUGAACUUUUUCUAUUUAUAAAAUGAUCUUUUUAAUCUUUAAUGUUUUUAUUUCAUACUUAAAAUAAUAUAAUACUCAGCAAAAUAUUAUUUAAUAAUUUACAUAAAAUAUGCAUAAACUCAUAAAAGUCAAAACUGAGAAUAAAUAAUAUAAAAUAAAUAUAAUAUAAUAUAAAUAAGUAAGUAAUUUAAUAAUUAAUUCGGUAAAUUGUUUUCGAAACUACUAAAAUCGAUGAAGUAUUAUUCAAACUGAAUAUAUGCGUUUUUAAUAUUGUAGGUCAAAAUUUUGAUUGAUAACAUUUGUAUUUGUUGAACUUGAUAUAUGCACAAACAAUGGGACCCAAUACAUAAUUCAAAUUACAAAGCAAAUUUUUUUUUUCUUUACGUUCUUUUAAUGCAUAUAAAUAUUUUUGAAUUAGAAAAAUUGCAUAUGAUAAAAACGGCACGGAUUGAAAUUGGAAGAUAAUCUCUAGUUGUAUUUUUAAUGAUAAAUAUUUAAUUUAAAUAAAAUUUAUUUUAUGGAAAUUUUGUAAACAUAAAAUAGUUGAGUUAAUUGUUAAAUUUUUAUAAAUUGAAGGUACUAAUAACAACUAUUAACUAAAUAAAAAAUGAAUAUAUUUUUUUGGAGUAAAAAAUGGAGUAAUACAUUGGAGUAAAACCCAACUCUAUUUUGGAGUUACACCAUUUUGGAGUAAAAUUUGGAGUAAUAUAUUGGAGAUGAGGUUUAGAAGAGUAUCACCAGGAUCCAGGUACACAAUUAGUUAAGAAGAUAUAAAAUUAACAAUGAUACAAAUUUAUUUAUAUACAGAAAAGAGGCUAAUAAUAAUAUACGAGAGUUAAUAAUAAUAAUAUAUACGAGAGUAGGGGCAAUGAAAAGAUUCUUAUUAGGCUCAAUAAUAGUCUCAUCUCAUGUAUUUUUCAAUAAGUGUUCAAGUUUCAGCACGUCAUGCAAACUCUACAGAACAUUUUUGUAACUCAGACGAGUUUGGUUUCUAAGAGCUUGGCGCAGUUUUACUAUAACUCGUAUUCUUUCAUAAUUCGGCCAAGAUGUUAUCAUGUUAGAUAGAUUCCAAUAUCAAAAAUAUCAAGAAAAUUAGGAUAAGUACAUGUACAUCCAAAUAAUAAUCCUAGUAUUGGAUUUCCGAUCGAUGCAUAGUAUCACGGUUUGAGCUCAUAGCCAAUCAAAAUAUUGGUGUAUUUAUCCUUACAGUCGGAAAAUAAUUAUUUAAAUAGAUGGGCCAUCGAACAUGAUAAAGCGCUUAAUUAUUUUAAACUUUAUUUUAGUAAAAAACAAUUAAAUAAUCAUUUAUUUCAUCUUAUCCUUUUGAAGGAUAAAGCGUGAGUGGUUUUGAAAUCUUAUCAUACAAAGUUACAGACAUCACAAUCCAGCAAAAUAAUAUAUAAUGUAUAUAAAUGUGAUAAAACAAAAAUAGAUUCAAAAAGUUCAGUAAAAAAAAGAUUCAAAAAUAACCAUAAAAUGUGGCUUAUGUGAGCUUAAUUAAACAUGUAACAUUCUUCAUCCUGAAAUAAAAAUUAAAGUAAACCGAAGCAAUUCAUUCACCAAAAAGUUGCUCAAAUUUAAGUUUUUCAAAGGGAACAUUGACCAAUUAACGUUUAAAAGCUGGUUAAUGGCAUCUUGAACGUAUCGUUAAGAAUUAAAAUAUUAUCAUAUAUGUUUGCCACUAUGGAUAAUAAUCACUGUCAUAUAAUGUGGUCCCACCAGUUAGGUCUGUGGAGCCGACUAGCAACCCAAGCUUUCUCCUUUCUUAUCGCCUCACCGAACAUUUCAAUGCCGUGAAUUCGACGGUGGUUAUCUAUCCAUCCUUCCCUACGAGUUUAAUUUCGACGGUUCUUGUUAUUUAUCAGCUCGAGAAAAGUUUCUUUUCGUAUUCUACAAACUGACUAAAAAGUGCAACAGAGACUCCUUACAUUAUGAGAGAUUAAUUCUCUGCCGUUCGAUCGAAGAACAAAAAUCUGUACUGCAAGAAAAUAAAAUUAAUAAGAAAUUGGCCAAGAAAAAUAUAUAUGCAGUUUAGAGGUAAUUAUUAUUUUAAAUAUGAAUAUAAGUAGUUUAGUGGUAGAUCCACCUGCCACGUGACAGAAUGUCGUAUAGUUACAGCUAACAGGCUAUUUCCACUAACCUAAAUAUUAUAUACUUUAUAUUGUUAAAACUUUUUGUCUAAACUAUGAGCUAAAGAAAUUCUUCUAAACUUGUAAAAAAUCUAUUAUAAAAAGUUAGUAUAAAGUUCAAGCUUUAAUUACACUUCCAAUUAAAACCUCAGAUUUCUUCAGGAUAUAAAAAUGGAAUUCAAUUAAUUUUAAUAAAUUGUGUUAAGAAAGUGCAAGUUAAUAAUUGCAUAUUCUUUUAUCAAAAAUUAAUUGUUUUAAUACAUCUGAGUUAAUGUUUUGACAUGUAUACAUCUAAUUGGUGGAGACCAGGACUCAUGUGACUGUACACCCAUCGCCACGUGGUGAGAUCUGGAGAGGGAUUACAACAAGCAUGUCGAGCGUGGCGGGGGGGGAACCUGGGCUUCGGGUGAAUGAGCCAGCCGGUUUAAAAACAACGCGUAAUACCGGUUAGGCCGGUGAAAAAGUCAUCAGAAUAUAUAGAGGUCAUAAAAGAAAGGGUUUAAGCCAAAAAAAAACGUGGUCGUCUUUCUUUUCUUAAGGGUUUUUGGUUUUAGGCGUUUCGGAGAGAGAGAGAGAGAGAGAGAAAAGAGAGAGAGAUUGAGUUUGCUUGUGGUGUGAGAAGAUCGCCAUCGUGUGGGUAGCGUUUCAGACAAGUAAAAAAAAAGAUAAAAAAAAAAAAAGAGUUUCCGUCACUUUCUCGGGAAAACGCAUGUGUUAAGAAGACAAAGGGGGUUUUGGUGUGAGUCCCUCCUUCCUUCCUUCCUUCCUUUGCGUUUCUCUCUUUUUCCUUUUCCGAUCUCGCAAUUGCCGGGUUUAUUCGCCGGAAUAUUCUCCGUAUUUUCUUUUCUUCUAAAAAAUUCAAGAUUAGGGUUCUAAAGGUGAGAUUUUUAGAGUUUUCCUUGAAUCUGUCGUUUUCUUGGAAAAUUUCUUGAAAUUCUUUUCUUUUUGUUUUCAAGGAAAUUUUUCUGGGUUAAUUUUCCUGGGAAAUUCGUGGAUCUGUGAACCCGAUCUGAGAUUUAGAACACGUGAUCUGUUAAACCCUUUUGAUCCUGAGAUCCAAGUUCUUGAUCGAACAUUUUGUUAGGGUUUUUAGGGUUUUCCUGACGGUUUCGGUUUACGAGUCGAUUAGGGUUUUAGAGUGGGUUUAAGCUAUUUUCACGGUUUUGACCCAAAACAUUCAGACAAAAACCCCUUUUGUUUUGUCUUUUCAUAACCUCUAAAUUUCGUUGUAUCGUUUAAUCUAAGACUCUAUGGCUCUCUCUUUUUUUUCUACAGGAUAUUCGUUGGUUGGUGUGGUAAGUCAUUUCACAUAACUCUGUGUUAUGCAUUCAGAGAAAUGGUGUCGCAUAAGUGUGUAGAAGAAUUCUCUUUACAGUUCCCUGCCAAUGCUCGAGCCCCCAGAUCAGCUAGGGUAAUUAAUAAUAGCCUUUUACCAUUUAGUUUCUUUUGCUUUGUUUUUGAUUUGACUUCCUUUUCAUUUUGUGGCCAGAAGAAGCGCAGCUUCAAGAAGGAGGAGAUAACUGAAAAUGACAAAACGUGUGCUAUUGAUCUAUUGGCCACCGUAGCUGAAAACUUGCUGUCUGAGACCGGAAGCUCUCACAUGUCUAUUGACAAACCGGUUGAAGACCAUUGUCUCGUUAAAGAGGAGCUCCCUGUGGAAGAUAAACCCUUAAAGCCUGCAACUUUACCCGAGUUUAAUCCUUAUCAGGGAUCAUCAAUGAGCCCUUGCGGUUUCAGUUCUGUGAUCAGUGGCAAAGUGGAGAUCGAGGCUGAGGGUUUUAGCCACUCUGGUGGUAUUGAUUCUUGUCAAGCCGGUCAGGAUUUGAAACCGAGUGUAGAUGGCGGUGCUGUAGUUCUGGAUGCGAGACCUAAUGGUGUGGGUAGUUUAGGUGGUAGUAGCAGUAGGACCAAAGUGCCUUCAAUGGGGGCUGGUGUGUCUCUUGGCGCUUUGGAUGAUGUACAUAUGUUUAGUAGAGAUGAUGAUGAAAACUUUUCUGGGUAUAUAUGCCCUCGUGUUACCAAAAAGUCACCUAGGUCUGUGCCGCGCGUUGGAGACAGAAGAAUCAGGAAGAUAUUGGCUUCUAGGCACUGGAAGGGAGGUUCAAGACAUUCAGGUAGUACCCCACCCGCCUAAGGGUUCUUGUCUGUUUUCAAAUGUUACUUACUUGCAUUUGGUGGUGUUGCAGAAGCAAAAUCAUGGAGGAACUAUUACUUGCAUCAUCAGAGGAGCUAUCCUAUCAAGAAAAGGAAAUACUUUGACCACAUCUCUGACUCAGUGUCUGAUGAUUAUCGUCUGCGCUCUAAGAUGCAAAGAGGUAGAAGAGACUUUUCUUUUGUUCUAAUCCCUCUGUCUGCAUCUUGUAGCUUUUAUGUUGGUUGUAUUGAGAUUCGGCAAUUUACUUUUGCAGGCAGCAGAGCUGUUUCUACUAUGAAAGGUCCAGGUGCAUCCUUUGUGUCAAGCGACUCUCAUGGUAACAAAAGAAUCUCUACUUGCUUAUGAAAAUGAAGAAGCUUAUGUUAGAAUGUAUUUUGCUUUUUAUUUUAUUUCAGUGAGACUGCGGAUCAAGUCAUUCAGGGUGCCAGAGCUUUUCGUAGAGAUUCCAGAAACCGCUACUGUUGGCUCCUUGAAGGUAACAUCAUUACCAAGCUCUUUGGUCUCUCCUUCUUUUCAUUUCUGUUGUAACUCACUUCUAAUGUUCUGAUUCUCCUUUUUGUUUUAACUAGAGAAUGGUGAUGGAGGCAGUGAGCACUUUAUUGAGUGAUGGACACCGAAUUGGUCUGAUGGUUCAAGGGAAGAAAGUCAGAGACGAUAACAAAACACUUCAUCAAACUGGGAUCUCUCAGGAUAACACCCACUUGGACUCUCUUGAUUUCAGCCUUGAACCUAGCUCAGAAGCUCCUCAUCUCUUAUCUAGGUUCACACUUCUCUAUUCACAACUUACAUCUUUUAAAAACUCAAAACAAAGUUUUGCGACUUAAAAGUUCUUGUUUUGUUUUUUUCAGCAACCCGUCGGGACAUGUCUGCGAGGAACUAUCCAUGUGCCGUACUUCUGACAUGGACACGUUGUUCAAAACUGAGCCUGAUUUAGCACUGUUCCCAUCAGGCUCGUUUGACAAGGAAACUGCAGCAGAUGAUUCAAAAGCUCUGGUUCAUGCUGCGCUCACCGAACUGUCUCCUCCUCAACCGCCUCGUCAUAAAUCUAAUAAGCAGCAGCAGCAGCAGCAACAGACUGCACAGCGAAGAAUGCGUCGACCUUUCUCUGUUACUGAAGUAGAAGCACUUGUUCAAGCAGUUGAGAAACUCGGUACUGGCAGGUAACAAAAAACAGAUCAUGCAUAUAUAUAUUACUGUUAUAUUUGUGGUUGUGAAGUAGAUAAAUGAUAUUAGUUUGGGUUGAAUUGUGCAGGUGGAGAGAUGUUAAGCAUAGUGCUUUCGAAGAUGCAGACCACCGCACUUACGUUGAUCUCAAGGUUUGUCACUUUGUUCUAAUUCUAAACCGUACUAACAUUGCUGAACCUCAAAUCCGAAUCUGAGUCCAAGAGUGUUUGGUUUUAAUGUGCAGGACAAGUGGAAAACGCUGGUCCAUACGGCAAAGAUAUCGCCACAGCAGAGGAGAGGAGAGCCAGUGCCGCAGGAACUUCUAAACAGGGUCUUGAACGCUCACGGCUACUGGUCACAGCAACACAUGGAGACACUGGCUCUGCCUAAACCAGAGUCUGUGUUGCUUCUCUAAUCAAAAAUCCGCUCUCUCCCCCCCCCAUUGUGUAUUGUUGUAAGAUUCUGACGACAUAGAUGCACAAAUUUAGUCUUUGACUUGUUCCUUUGCUUUCUCUUUUUCUUUUUAACUUUUCUCAAUGUAAAGUUUUAAUUGGAAUAAGGUUGAUGUUCCUUGACCAAUUUAGGGCUUUAGAGGAUUUUUUCUUUUUCUUUUGUACAUGGUUUGUUGACAUUCUCACUCUUUUAUUUCUCUCUUUAAGACUAUUUUUCACUCUCAUAUUAUUCUCUGUUCAAACGAGUGGUCAUAGGUUUGCACAAGAAUGUAACAAUACUUUAAGUAAUUCUUUCAAUAAUUAGGGAAUUAAGAUACUACUAAACAUUGUUGGUUAUGUAAAAGCUACCACAUGCAUAUAAUAUCGCAAAAAAUAACUCUGAAACUUGCGAUAGAAAUAUCUCAAUUAUCAAGUAUCUUAAUCAGAGGGUCUGCUUGAGUGAGAUCAGGCCAGACUGGAUUAAGAAAUGUAAAUAAUCCGGUUCAGGUUUAAGCAGAAAACCAAUAUCCUAUAUGAAUCGGAAAUCAGAUUUCAACGGCCGGUUCUUGAGUCAGACUAAACCCUCUGAGCCGCUUGAAGGGUUCUCUCUUGGACUCUGCCAAAAACCUAAGCUUCUCUCACUCUCCGACUCUUUUUAUCGAUCUUCUUCUCCUCCUUCUAUAAUCCGGCGACGUUUCACACCACCUGGACAAACCUCCUGUUGAUGUUUCGGACAAGUAUUGGUUCCAGGUGAGUCCAUUACCACGAAAAGGCAUUUUCUUUCUUAAUUGUCUAUUUCGAUUCCCAUUUCUGACGAAACGGAUCUGCUCGUUUCCAAAGUGUUCAACUUUAUAUGUUUUUUUAUUAGUUUCAGAGCCUUAGCAUUGCCACCAAGAUCCUUCAACUAUCUCUCGCGUUCAUCAGUUCGAAUGGAGAAUCUAACCUUUUCUUCCGAAGCUGGUGCGAAGCCAAGAGGUGCAUUAAUAGUCGUAGAAGGACUUGACCGCAGCGGCAAGUCAACGCAGUGCGCUAAGCUACGCUCUUUCUUGGAGAGUUCAGGGCAUCCGACAGAACUCUGGAGGUUUCCCGACAGGGAGACAAGUGUCGGUCAGAUGAUAUCCGCGUAUCUAUCUAAUAAGUCUCAGUUAGAUGAUCGCACCAUUCAUCUCCUCUUCAGCGCCAACCGUUGGGAGAAGAGGUUCUUUAUCUUUUUCUUCUUCCUCUUAGGUGUUACCUUUAUUAAUGUCCUGAACGUUUUGCAGGUCGUUGAUGGAGGAGAAGCUUAAGGGAGGAACUACGCUUAUCGUUGAUCGGUAUUCGUAUUCUGGUGUGGCUUUCUCAUCAGCUAAAGGUCUUGGGAUCGAGUGGUGCAAGGCGCCGGAAGUCGGGUUGCUGGCUCCGGAUUCAGUGCUUUACCUUGACAUCUCACCUGAGAGAGCUGCUGAGAGAGGUGGAUAUGGAGAUGAGAGGUACGAAAGAGUUGAUUUUCAGAAGAAAGUUUCUGAGUUUUAUCAAACUCUACGUGAUUCUUCAUGGAAGGUGAAUAGAUUAAGACUCUCUUAUCUUUUGUUUGACUACUUACUCCGUAGGUUUAGAUUCUAAACCUUGAAAAUGGCAAUGCAGAUAAUCGAUGCAGGUGAUAGUAUGGAGGAAGUAGAGAAGAAGAUUCAACAAGUGGUGUUGGAUAAAGUUAAAGAGUGUGCUCUAGGAAAGUCUCUUUCUCUCCUCUGGUCAUCUUAGAUGAUGAUUUUUAACCAAUCCACUCUUGUAGAAUGUUUGUGUCAUGGCGAAUUAUACCAAGUUUGUGAUUUUGAAAACUUACACGUAUUUUUUGCAUAAUUUGUUUCCGUUGAGAAGAUGCUGAUUGGUGAAUACUCUUUUAAGUGUAACUAUGGUGUCCACUUAAAGGAAGAACAUACCAAUUACUGUCCACUAGAGAGAAUGACAACUUACUUUUCCAAUGAUGGAGUUUACUACUUAACAUGAUUGUCGUUGACUUAAUGAUAGUGAAUCAGUGAUUAUUAAGUUAUGUUCCAUCUCAAAGCUACACUGUCUUAUUGAAAAUAUCCAAUCUUAUUUACCACCCUUUUAUUCGUAAGAAACAUUAUUAUUGAUCCCAAGUGAUAACAAUGGUGUUAACUGUUAAGCUUAUGAUCCCUAUCAAAAAGUUAUCUGGGUAGUCAUCUCUACCUCUGCAUUGGUUCAUUUGAUCCUAGCAACAACAAGAAGCUCAAGUAUCAAGACCUACUACGCCUUUGAAACCAGCCCACGAUCACAGAUUCAAGUUUGGAUGAAUGUGUCCUGAGCAUGCAACAAGCACUUGGUGGAGUUAAAGAGUAUCAUGAUGUACUUACUAUUUGGGCCGUUCAAGCCCAUAAACAUGCUCACAUAAAAUUAUUUGGGCCGUCUGAGCCCAUAAAAUGCUCAUUUAUUCUUUGUUGUUGUUGUUGUCAAUCAUGACAUCUUUUUAAUCAAUUAUUUUCUUGUGAAAUUAUUUUGCGACGUUAAAGAAAGGACACUCAUUAAAAAACGAUACUGCAUCAGGAGUCAGGACCGUUUAACUAAGCCCAAGUUGAAGAAUAAUCCAGUAAUUAACAAUAGUAUCAUUAGAUUAUAUCAUUAAUGAUGAUGUCUGCAAAUAAAAGCAACAUACAAUGUGAGACGAAGUCAAUCACGCGCUCUCGAUCGUGACUUCCCUAAUAAGCUUUAGUCUCAAAGUUGUGAUUGGUUCGUGUCAAUCAGACGCGUGUGGGUUUUUCGCUUGGGAGGGUAAUGUCUGUGAGAUCAGCAUUUUGAUUACUACAAGGCUAUUCUUUCUACAUGGUCAACUCAAUCGAAUGUUUUACAUCAAACAGAAAAUAUGUGUUCAUACUUCAUGGCAAAUAGAAGAUCGAGAACGUCAAAACUUCUUUUCUUUUCAAAAUGCUAAAAGCAUCUCCGGGAAAAGAAUCUCUAUUAUAGAGUCUGCAAAACUCUAUAUUUGAAAUUUCAAAUUUUUUUUUUUCGAAAAGCAAAAGUUUUCAAAUUUAAUUUUAAAAUAAUUUGUAAUUUACACUAUAAUUCUUAUAUUUGUCAUCAUUAAUAUAUAUCCAUAAAAACUUUUAUAAAUAACUAUCACAUAUAUAAACAUAUUAUAGUAAUAUUAAUUAAUAAAAUUUUAUACUUAAAUAUAAAAUUAUAAAUAUAAAUACAUAAUUAAAUAUUAAACUACAAGCAAAAUACCACAUUAUUAAUAAAUUUAUUUUCUUAGUGCUCCAUUUUCGGUUACACAAAAUUUGUUUGGAUAAUAUUUUAGAAGUUCUGGAGAAAAUUUACUAAACUAUUAGUGUUAUUGUAAUAUUUAAAUUUGUGUAAUAAUUAUGUCAUCAUGUAUCUUUUUAAAAAACUAUUAAGUUUCUUUUGAAAUAUUCUUGUUGUCUAAUUCUAUUUUUAAAAUAUUAUACAUCUUUUUAAAUUUUAUGUGUAAAAUUUAAAUUUAUAAAAUAAAUUUGAAAUAUUUAAAAUAUACAAAAGUUUUAAAGAUUAAAACGAUGAAUGAGAAAAUACUUAAGAAUCAUAAAUGUAAUGUAUAAUUAAUUAUAAAGACCAAGACGCAAAAAAAUGAAACUUUAAAUUUAGAGUUUUGAAUAGUGAAACUUCAUCACUUCUUAAAAUUUUAAAUUUGAAGUUACGAAAUUCAUUUUUGGAAAGCAAAAAAACUCUAUAUUUGAAGUUAUAUUUUUUUUUUAAAUGCUCUAAGUGUUAACUUUUUUUUGCUUAAGAAUUUUUAGAUAGCCGCUAACAAAAAAGUUAAUGGUUUUCACACAACUAAUUUAUGUUUUACUUAUUUAUUGAAUUAAAUUUAAGAUGAUAGAAACUACAGCUUGAAACUUAAAACAAAUAUUACAGCUUAAAUGGCAACAUACAUAGCCGGAGUGUUGAAUGUCUCAAACAUGAUAUGAGUCAUAUUCUCACGGUUCACCUUGAAAUUGAGUGGAGCUUCGGUUAAGAGAAGCGGAUGUUCUUCAGAGGCAACACAUAGCUCGUUAUAGAAAGUGUGAUGCCAAAUCUUUUCCAUAUCAUCCUAGUUGUUAACAAUUCCAUGUUCAAUUGGGUAUUUGAGAGUCAAGAUAUCACGUUUUGACUGAGCCUCGUCUCCAACAUAGACAUCUUUUUGUCUCAUACCAACCAUCACAGCUUGAAACUAUCAGUUUGAAUCAAAUCAUAACUUCACAUGACCAUCAGAUGUGCCAAUGUCACCAUAUCAUAAUUAGGAAGGGGGUUUAAUCCUAUAAUACCAAAUCAGUUAAAACUUAAAACGAACAUAAUCGGAAUAGAGAAUAGAAAAAGUGAUUUUAGAUUUAGUAAUAUUACAUCAUUUAAACAAAUAUUACUUUUAAGAGACCGUCGAAUAUGAAUAUACAGUAUAUAAACUGGUCAAUUCAAAUAAAUUGAUGAUUUAAAAUAUAGUUAUAUAGUUAUAUGUAAACUAUAUAAUAUAAUCAAUAAUAUUUAUUUCCUCUGUUACAUUUUACUUAAUGUUUUUUUUUACUUAAUGUUUAAGAUCUUUUGGUUGCAAAAUAAAUGAUAUUCUUAUUAUUCUAGAUAAAGUUCAACGUUACUUGAGAUUAUAAUAUAUUAUAUAAUAUUAUAUUUUUUAUUGAUUGAAUUAUGAUGUUAAAAUCAAGAUAAAUGGUAUUCUCUCUAUUUCAAAAUAUAAAUAUUUUUUUACUAAAAGCACCAAUAUUUAAAAAAAAAUGUUAUUUACUUAUUUCAAAGUACCAUUUAAUAUAUAAACUUAACCAAUUAUAAAAAGCUUAUAUAAUUUUGUUGGUAAGACAAUAUUUAAUGAAUACAAAAAUUGCAUUAAAAUGUUAAAGCACUUAUAUAUUUGAAACAAAAAAAAACUUCUAAAUAUACUACAAUAUGAAAUAGAGAGGGUACGAAAAUUUUACCUUCUUAAUCUUUGUGCAUUCUUAAACAUCAAAUAAAAUUGAACAAAGGGAGUAUAUCAAUUAUAUUAUUAAUAUAAUUUUAUAUUUAAAAUAUAAUUUUAAUUUAUUGUUUUAUUUUAAAUUAAAAGUUGGGAGAUAAGUUGAAUCUGGACAAAGAAGUCACAAUCAUCUUUAAUACUUUCUCUUUCCUCUACCUUUUCUUUCCCAUGAAUAACUGUAUACAGAAAACUAUGUGCCAAUUAGAUUAUUAAUCAUUUUCUAUAGUUAAAAACAAACUAAGUCUAUAGUAUAUAUGUAAGGGGCUCAGGACCGUAUUAAGGAACCUAAUCGCAUCGUCUUUUGAAUUUUGACUGUUCAAAGAAUAAAGACAGGGUCAAAGAUAUGAAUGGAUUUUGUAAAUGAUUAAGUAAUAAUGUCAGGGUUGGUAUCCACGAUCGCUUCACCCAAAAUAUUUGUCCAAUUCCUUGGACAUCAAGAUUUAUCUUUAUGGUUUUUAUAUAAUAUGAUGUUAAGAGUAUACUAUUAGUAUUAUUAUAAAAAGAAUUAUCGAAAGCACCAAAGUUCAGUUAAUUGCCAAGCACUAACCGAUGUUCUAACACCAUCUAGCGUUUAAGCCGCUUAGACGAUUUGCCUAGGAUUCGAAGUGCCAAUUAGUUUUAAACUUUUCCCAUUCUAUCUUUAAACAAAAACAAAAUAAGAGCGUCUAAGUUAGCUAGACAUAUGCUAAAGUACCCAAAAAUGGCUGAGUUUUUGUUUGCCAACUUUUUUAUUUUAUUUUAUGCAUUUGGUUAAAGUUAAGGAAGGAUUUAAAAACACCAUAGGAAACAAGAAUCUAUAGAGAAGAAUUUGUAGUUCUUAGAAACUACGGGAAAUUUGAUGAGUUUGUUUAUGAGUAUUUAAUUUAUUAAAAGGUUUGAACAAAAAAUUAAUUAUUAAAAGGUAAUUUGACUUUUAUUUGUGACCAAGCGAAGCAAAGUGGAAGUGAACAGAGAAAUAAAGAUACCAAGCAAAAAACUACAAAAUCUCUAGUUAAGUAGUUGCAGAUAGAUCCGACACAAAUUAAACUAACCCAUUUGUGUUUUGGUAAUAACUUGAUCCACCUUUUGUGGCGGCUGGUGUUUCCUCGAAAGUUCCAUUUUUUCCCCUGUAAAAUGUGUGAAACGAAAAAAAAAACAUAACCCCUCAAAUAUAAAGACAAAGAGCUCUCUCAAGUCAAGCUCCCAACUGUGUUCACAAGAACUUUCGCACCGCUUUCUUCUCUUCGUUGAAAAGUCUUUUCCUCUUUAUCCUCCGUGUCCAUGGACGCUCUCCUUCAAGUUUCUGUAGAUGGUUUCAGAUUCGACGGAUCUGGAUCCGGAUCUUGCUGCAAACCAAGAAACAACCUCGAGACUCAGAACCAGUCUUCACCACCGUCGAUAUGUCAAGACAACGCUCCCGUUCUCAAGUACAUCAACGACAUGCUGAUGGACGAAGAAGACUUCGUGGAGGACAAUUUAGCCUUACAAGCCGCCGAGAGAUCCUUCCACGAGCUACUCCACCAACCACCAUCUUCCGAGUCUUCUGACCAGAACUCAACUUCCUCCGGCGACCACGACUGCAGCUUCCCCAGCACAACAACAACAACAACAACAGAUUCAGCAGGGUCGCUUGUUUCCAACGGAGAGUCUCAGAGAAAGUACCGUCAUAGAGACAACGAAGAAGAUGAUCUUGAAAACGGGAGGAGAAACAAACAGCCUGCUAUCUUUGUAUCAGAGAUGGAAGAGCUAGCAGCGAAGUUCGAACACGUGUUGUUGGUAUGCAAAUCAAAUCAAGAAGAAGACUCUUCAUCAACAACAACAGCAACAACAAAGAAACAGAAUCCUCCUCCUCCACCAAACAAAGCAACAGGACGAGCAAAAGGCUCCAAGGCCAUUAAAUCCAACGCUGUUGAUCUCCGUAGUCUCUUGACUCAAUGCGCACAAGCCGUAGCGAGCUUUGACCAUCGUCGCGCUACGGAGAAGCUCAAGGAGAUAAGAUCAAACUCUUCUCCCAGCGGAGACGGGAUACAAAGACUAGCGUUCUACUUCGCAGAAGCCUUAGAAGCGCGAAUCACAGGCAUCAUCUCGCCGCCUCUUUGCACCGCGUUUCCCUCCAGCACGACGUCGAUGGUCGACAUCUUGAAGGCUUACAAGCUCUUCGUCCACGUUUGUCCCAUCUACGUAGCUGACUACUUCGCUGCAAACAAGUCAAUCUACGAGCUCGCGUUGUCAUCAACAAAGCUUCACAUCAUCGACUUUGGAGUUCUCUACGGCUUCCAAUGGCCUUGUCUGUUACUAGCACUGUCUAAAAGACCAGGAGGACCUCCAAAGCUACGCGUGACUGGAAUCGAGCUGCCGCAGUCUGGCUUCCGACCUUCGGAUAGAGUAGAAGAGACUGGUCGGAGGUUGAAAAGGUUCUGCGAUAUGUUUAAUGUUCCCUUUGAGUUUAACUUCAUAGCCAAGAAAUGGGAAAGCAUCACUCUCGACGAGAUAACCAUCACUCCAGGAGAGACAACGGUCGUUAACUGCAUUCACCGGUUACAGUACACUCCUGAUGAGACUGUCUCACUGGACUCACCGAGAGACACGGUCCUGAAGCUCUUCAGAGACAUCAACCCCGACCUCUUCGUGUUCGCUGAGAUCAACGGGACGUACAACUCUCCUUUCUUCAUGACGAGGUUCAAAGAAGCGCUCUUCCACUUCUCCUCCCUCUUCGACAUGUUCGACACCACCAUACAGGCCGAGGACGAGUACAAGAACAGGGCGCUCCUGGAGAGGGAGCUGCUUGUGAGAGACGCAAUGAGCGUGAUCUCCAGCGAGGGAGCUGAGAGGUUCGCGAGGCCUGAGACGUACAAGCAGUGGCGGGUUAGGAUACUGAGAGCGGGGUUUAGGCCUGCGAUGAUAAGCAAGGAGAUCUUGAAGGGAGCUAAGGAGAUUGUGAGGAAACGUUACCAUAAAGACUUUUUGAUAGAUGGUGAUGGGAACUGGAUGCUUCAGGGGUGGAAAGGGAGAGUCAUCUAUGCUUUUUCUUGCUGGAAACCUGCGGAGAAGUUGACAAGAGACGAUCAUAUAAUCAUUUGAAAAGUUGUUAACUUAUGCUCUAUUGCUUCAUUAUUUUGUUUGCCACAAUGGUUUUGUAGAAUCUGUUUGUUUCCCAUGAAUGGAAUGCAUCUCGUCUUUCCUGCAAAGUUCAUGUAUAUAUAACACAAGCAUACAACAUCCAAAUAGAAAAUUCAAAACUUCUGUGGUAUAAAUAUAUCAAAUGGGUUGCUACACCACGUUAAUGAUGAUACAGAAAAUGCAAUGAAUGAUCUACUAUAUCACAUAUAAACCGGUGUGAAGUAAAUUUGAACUAGGCUGCUUGAAGUUAAGCUAGUGUUUGGUUUGAGGUUUCGGUUGCCAGCUCUUGGGUUUCUUGAAACCGUUGCCUUUUUUGUUGCUCGGUGAUGGUUUGUCACUGCUCUUAGGGGACUUGCUUGGAUGGUUUUGUUCCUCAGAGACUCCCUCCUGAGACUGUUUCCUUUUCAAGUCACCAUUUGUUUCCUGGCUUGUCUCAACCUUAGGUUCACUGAAAGAGGAUGAACAUUGGCUACUUAGAAUUUAAAAUUGUAAGAAGACAAACAAAAAUCAGAAAUUAAAAAACAACUAUAGGUGACAUAAUCCAUAGCUAUCAAUAAUAAUUUCAUUUGUAUCAGAACAACAUUAUAUUAUCGAAUGCACGCUCUCUAGGGAAAAUAAUUUGUUGAGAACCAAAAAAAAAAGGAAUAUAAAAGCAAAGAGUACAGACCUAAAAGACAUCCUUCCUCCAUUACUGCUAGAGCCUGUGGGAGAAGCAUCUGUUUUCCGACCGCUUAAGGCCUCUUCAUUCAGUUUCUAAGUAAAGAAGAGUUUAAUAUUACAGAAAACCAAAAAGAGUAGAACAUCAACCCGUAAACUAUUAACUAUCCUAGGCUCUAAGCGCAGCAGAGACAAACCUCGAUAGAGGGGUUGAAAGACUGAAAUGACAAGCGUCCUAACAACGCUCUUGGCUGAGGAUCCCAGUCUGUUAUGACCACACUGCAUCCAAAAUCAAACCACAUUAGAUGAAGACAAAACAUUAACGUCAAACAAGAAGAGAAUAAAUAAACGGUACCACUUCUUUGAAACAGAACCGGGGGAAGGAGUAAAAUUCGCAUUAUCAUCAUCAAUCUUCUUCUUCUUCUCCUCUUUUAAAGCAGACCUUUGCAUAAACUAUAAGUCAAAGAGAAUCAUUCAUUUAUUCGUUCAUAAACUAACUUAAUGUAAUAAUCAACUAAGAUCUCCAUGAUUGAUAAUGCAACUUCUUGAGUAAAAAUUGAAACUUUAGUCCCAAAUCAAUGCUAUAACUGGUUGCUAAGCUCUAAAGGUUACAACUUUAAGCUCUAGAUGCAAAGCAAAAGUGGUGAUGAAUCAAACUAAAAGCUAAUUCAAGCUCGAAUUUGCCUAGUAAUAAUAACCAAUCCCACUCUAAUAAAUACGAUUAUUUAACUUUUCAAACACAUACCUUAAGAUUUCUCAGAGUGCUACUGAUCUCUCUCUUCGCCAUUGUAGCUUCUCUCAGAUGACAGGCUCUUUCACCCAACACGAGAUGUCCGUUAACGGAGAGGUAUGAACAAUUCGAGAGUUUUCGAUUUUAGGUUUGGUUUCCGAAAUAAAUUGACUACGCUUCCCGGUUAGCGGUUCAAGCCGUACCAAAUUGGAAAAUGAUUAUCAAACCGAACUUUUAUUGGUUUAGUUUUGGGUCAUUGAAACUAAACCCGAAUCUAAUCUGAAUGACCGCUUAGUAUGAUUUUGGGUAUUGUUGUUCUGGCAGCCUCUACGCAUGGUCAAAAUGAGAAAAAAAAAAUGCAAGUGAAUGAUAAAAAAAAAUCAUGAAAAUUAUGUACUUAUUAGCUUUUUUGUAAAAGAGAUUAAAAGAUGUUUGCACUCAUUUUUAAUAUAUUAUUAAUUAAAUAAACUCAACUUGUUUCUUCAUUACAUUCCCUGUUUCUCUCAAUAAAAAAAAGCUUUAGAUUACACUUAUUAUUUUCUCUUCCAAGAGUGAGUAGUGAUAAAGUAGUAUUCGUGCUAUGUCUUUUGUGUAACUUAUGAGCUUUGAAAUUGUUUGUUUAAGCAAUGGUUUCAAUGGCGACCUUUUGCCUGGAUCUAAUCUCCUCGGCUUUGUCGACAACAGCAUCCCAUAGUUCAGGAAGAGCUUCACGUAUGUUGUGAAUAUGCUCCAAUGCUAUAUCUACUCCUUCAUCUUUGUGUGACGUCCCAACCUAAUUAAUACAUAAAAUGAUAAAGCAGACAAAGACGAGAUUUGAGAUUGGUAAGUUGUGUUAAACACAUUUUUCAAGAAUCUUCGUCUUUUACUUACCCAAACGGUGUGGAGACCCACACGUUUCCCGGUUUGUAUGUUACGGAUGCUGUCAUCGAAGAACAACUAAAAAUACCAGAAAGGAAUAUUGGAACUUAUUAAUUAAGCUGUUUUAGUGUUUAGGUAAGAUAACAAGAGAAGUAGCGAUAUGGUUGUCUUCUUACUGUCUUAUGAGGAUUGAUGUUGGUCAUCUUGAAAACAUGUUCGAAUGCUCCUUCAAAUGGUUUGCAUAUAACCGGAGUCUUUGGGAGUUUGAUGCUUGUGUCAGGGUUUGCAGUGUAACUGAUUAUGUCGAAGAUUUCUCUGCUUUCCAUCACAGCAGCAGGAGAUUCAGUAUUUAUGUUUGGGUUCAGAGUCUCGAAAGAUAUGAUUCUUUCAAAGCAGCCAUCUAGACCUAGCCUGGCAAUAAUCUUGGCUGCAUGCGCCUUGUCUGCAUUCGUGAAAACCUAUGUGCAGAAAUAUUAAUAAAAGAAAGGACGGUGAUUGGAAACAAGAUGUAAGAGCUUAGUAACAAGGAAGUCAAAGACAUACAACUUUCCGAAAAGGUAAGCUGAGAAUAAUGUUCCUCAAAAUAGGGUCAGGCUUGAGUGUUGUGUAUGGCAAUCUCCCAUGAACAAAACUGUAAAAAGAAGAGAGGAAUCUUAAGUUCUAAACAACUUACACUUUAAAAGAAACAAUAAGCAAAAAAUAUGAAAGAUGGGUUCAGUUUGGAGUACCCAUGGAAAUCGUCGUAAUCAAAGUCAUAACCCACAGCCUGAAGAAUCAACAUCCAAAAAUGAAUGGCAUGUGCAUUAAACAAUAUGCUUAAAGGAAAAUACAGAAAAAUGCUAUACAAUGUGUUGAAAAAGAAUGAGGAUACCUUGAGACCAGCCAUAGUUGUUCCAUAGAUUUUGUAAAGCUCAAGGCACAGUUCUUGAACUUUAUCUUCUUCAAUACCAAGUUUCUGAAUCAUAUACUCUACAAUGGCAACAAUAAAGACAGGUUCAUUUAUAACAUGAACAACCAGAACUGGAAGGGUAAAGAGUAUCAUCAUCUAUGUGAUGGGACAUUUAUACCUUGAAUGUUGUUUGUAACUAGCGCAGAGAUACCAGAACUGAAAGGGUAAAGAGUAUCAUCUAUGUCUGUUGUUUCAUCAAAAUCCAAAAAAAAAUACUAUAAUUAGAUUUUUUUUAAGGAACUUUAAACUAUUCUUCAAAUCAUCAAAUCAAAAUGUGAACAUUGAACAUAGAAGUAUUUCACAAUUAUCCUUACCAAACAAAAGACAAUCAUAUUUAGGUUCAGACAUUUGCUGGAAAUUUUCCUCGUACGCCAUUUCUCUUACAAGUUGACAGACACCUGAAAAAUAUUUAUAAACAAGCUGAAUCGCAAUCUCUCUAACACAUUCCACAAAAAAAAAAAAACGAAACUACGACAUCAGAUGCCAACAAACUACAUCCCCAUUAAAUAAUCACCGACACCAUAGGCUGAUAGGCAUGUCUACAGAUCAACUCAAACCAUAACUCGAAAUACACGAAUUGAAAAAUCAAUCAUGACUAUAAAAUGCUAUAAAAUGUAACCAGUGACUAAAGGAAUAUAUCAGUCCAUCCAGAAAGAAACAGAUUAGAUUGUCCGUCUAUAAACAGUAGAGACAAUGAAAACAAAAUGAAACCAAACAAAUGAAGAAGGUUACCUUUUUCUGAUCAAUGAAACUUCAAAGAGGAGAAGAAAAAGAUCAAGAAGAAAUGAAGGAGGAAAAGACUUGUAUUAGUUAUAAAUAGGAAGAUGAAAUGUUAGCCAAACGUCUUAAUUUCUCAUGACCACAUCCAUUGGUUGUCGUUAAAUCUGGAGAGAAAGCUUUCACUUACGUCCACAUCUACGAUUUCAACACGUGGUACUUGUCUCUUUCUUUAACUUUGCAAAGCGAAUCACCGGCCGCUACGCUGUUAUAUUUAAGAGCCGGCAAACUACACUUUUUCAAAUUAUAACGUGCGCCUUAAUCUAAUAAUUCCUGCGUAAAUUCGGUUCGGAAGUUUUUUACUUUUUUUUCCACAUGAUGUACAAGUCCGGUUUUAGUGGACCGGAUACUGUAAUCAGAAAUCGGCCACAUGGCCAAGCUUGUUUCCCUUCCUUAUCAAUUAGGCUCAUAUUAGAGUAGAAUAGGCAGUUUCCUUCAACCACCAUGUAAUUAAUAUCGGUUUUAUUUUGAUAAGCCGGGAACCUCUAUAACGAUUUAAUUUGAUUUAGAACUUCGGAUGCUCGCUAAGUUCUAUUGGUAAAACAACAUUAUCUUCUGUUUAAGCUUCUUCACCAACAAAAUCUCGGAAUAGUUUCCGAUCUCCAAUUUAUUUAACUACUAGGUUAAAAUCUGCAUCUUUUGCGGGAUGAACAUUGUUUAUCAAUUUAAUUUUGUAUUAUGUAUUUUUACGUGCUAUGAAAUAAUAAAUAUAUAUUAAAUAAUUAAAAAUCAGUAACUAUUAUCCUACUACGAAAAAGAUCAAGAGGGACCCAACAUAAAUAAUUAAAUUGAUGCGAACAUAUAAAUCAAUUUUAUUAAUCCAAACAAUAUUUUUUCCUAUUUGAUAGGAUAUAUAAUUAAAUUUAAAUGAUAUUAACAUACAUAAUAUAUUUUAAUAUUAAUAUCUAUUAAAUGAUGUUUUCUACUCAUAUAAUUUUUAUUAUCACUUAUAUCUAUUAUUGAUAACAAACAUUCAUUGUGUGAUUAAUAGUUUUAGUAAUUUUUAAUUUUAAAAAAAAAUUAUCAAUGUUUGUUCAAAGCUUUUAUCAAAAAAAUUGUUCAAAGUAAAUUUCAAAAUUAAAAUAUUUAUAUAAUUUGUAUGGUAUACAUUUUAAUUUAAAACGACAUAUAUAUAUAUAUCUUCUAAUCUUAAUAAUUAAUUAAAUUAGACUUUUUACUUAUAUGAUUUUGUAAUCAUUUGUAUUUUUUCAACACAAAAAUUUUAAAUCAUGGAUCACAAAAUUUUAAUAUGAGACUUUUAACAAUUUUAGUAAUUUAUAGUCGUUUUUUAAAAUUCAAAAUAUAAUAUAUACAGAAAAAUCUAAAUUUUUUAUUAUAUGGUUAAUGUGUUUGUUUAAUUUAUUUUAAUAGUUUAAAAUUAAAUAAAUAUGAUAAAAGAUACACUAAUUUUUAUCAAAUCUUUAUUAUUCAAAAUCAUUAAUUGACAUAUCUACUUUAGCCACAUUAGACAAUUCCGUAACUUUUAUUUAAAGAAAUAAUAAAGAACAAUAACAAUGAAUUUAUGGUUAGUUUAAUAAAAAAGUUUAUUAUAUAAUUAGAUGUAGCAACAUAUUUUUUUAAUAAUUUUAAGAAUCAUUUUAAUGAUGAUACAUGAUUACAAAAAAAAAUUGUAAUGUUUUUCAAUUAAUAUAUAGGGGAUUUGUUAUCCCGAACUUGCUAUAAUAAUAUUCUAGGUUACUUGAUGAAUCGUAUGCAAAAGAUAUGUGUUUUGGUAAUUAACGAAAGGUACAAAUACACAUAUUUUAUUGUUUAAGAUCCAUCAUUCAUGUAUAUAAUACUUAAGUAUGCACAAACGGGCAUACCAUAUGUAAUCAAAUACACUUUAUUCAUAUAAACCACAAAUACAUAGCUAGACACCAUACAUAAUCAACCGUUGCAGCAACAAUGAACGGCGUAUAUGUUAGAUCUUUAUUUCACCAUACAUUAAUUAAUCAUAAUUAGAUGUAAACUUCUUCGGAAAACUAAAUAAAACAUGUAAAACUAAGCAUGAACAGAAGUUUCAAUCGAGAUUUGUGUGGCGUAACCAAUUCUUUCAGAUUCUUUGUUGUUAGAUUCCGACCAUAGUUUCGGAAAUGCUGCUUUCAUGUUGUGAAUGCUUUUUAACGCGUGAUCACUUCCUUCCAUUUUUUCCGAUUUACCAACCUAACAUAUAUAUUGAAAUUUAACAUUUUCGAUUAGGACUUUUUUUUUUAUAAAGUCUGGUUUUACAUGCGUGCACGUUUUCAACCCAUGUUGCUUUUAGUUGGUUUGGUUCGAGAUUUUAACCCGUUCUUACCAGGACUGUAUGGAGACCCAUGGCUUUUCCGGUUUGGAUGUUACGGAUACUGUCGUCGAAGAACAACUGUACAAGAAACAUAACUAACGUUAAUUCGUUGAUAUGAAAAUCUAAUAAAAAUGUACAUCUUAAGCUAUUAGUUGUCGAAGCUUACGGUUGUGUGAGGAUUGAGCUGUCCAAUGUCGAAGGCUUUCUCGAAAGCAAUCUCUGCUGGUUUACAGAUAACCGGAAUCUCAGGAAGGUAAUUUUCUAGAGAAACCUCAGUCUCGUUGACCUUAGGAUUCAAGGACUCGAAGCUUAUGAUUCUCUCAAAACAAUCUUCGAUACCGAGUCUCUUUAGAGACUUCAUCACAUGAACUUCAUCUCCGUUCGAGAAAACCUUAACAAAAGAAAAAAUGGAAUCAAUAUUUUUAAAUUUUUACUAAUAUAUAAACAUACAAACUGAAAUUAAGCAAAUAAAUAAAGCUACAUAUACCAUUUUACGCAAAGGAAGAGUGAGGAGGAGAUUUCUCAAAACCGGGUCUGGUCUAAGGUUUUCAUAAGGUAAUCUUCCAUGAACAAAUCUGUGGUACUCAUCAUUGUCGAAUUCAUAACCUACGGCCUGAAUUAAUUGUCAAUUUAAUUAGCUAUAAACAAUGCAUUGUUAUGUGAUUAAGAAUAAGAUGGUUCAAAUAUGAUUAUAGUGAUAACCAAUUUUCGAUUGGGUCAACAUAUUUUAUGAUGGUAAAGUACCUUUAGACCAGCCAUCGAAGUUCCAUAUUUCUUGUAGAGAAUUUGGUUUAGCUCAACGACUCCAUCUUCAUCUAUUCCAAGCUUCUCAACCAUGAAUUCUGCACACGGGUAUUUCAAUAUUUUCAGGUAACUUUUAUAUAAAAUAUCAAACAUAUAAACUGCUAAAAGAAUUGUUUAACAGAGAAAAACUAUAUCAUACCUAUGAUGUUGUUAGCGCAUGCUUCUGAUAAACCAGAGCUUAAUGGAUAAAGAGUAUCAUCCAAAUCUAUUGGAAAGAAAUACAAAUACAGACAUAAGAAAAAGUUGUUAUAAUUGCUUCUAAUUUUUCUAUAUGUUAUAGAAUCACACAUUACACAGCACUUCUUACCAAAGAGGAGACAUUCAUAUCUUGGUGUAGAGCUGUUCACAAAUUCCAUAUUUCUUUUCCAAAAACUGCUAAGAUCUGGUGAUUGAGAAGAGGAAGAAGAGAUACCUCAGAUAAAAGAAGGAAGAAAAUAGUACACUUGAGAAAAAUUAUAUACGAAGAGAAAAUAUUUGAUGUAGAAAAGAAGAGAAUGCAGAUAUGUUUAUAUAAGAAUCAGCUAAAACGCGUGUGAAAAUAAAGUCACCAAUGAAGACCAGCUUUUCUAUUAAUUAAUAAUAAUAAACGAUUGGUACUUUACCUUCUUGUUUAUCGAGUGCUUCAUUGUAACUAUAAAGUUAUAAACUGGUGAACAAAAAAAAAGUAGUAUAAACUAACAAAAAUUAAGAUUAUAAAAUAUGGUAUCGUGAUUCCCGUUGAUGUGUAAUUCAAAAACUAAUAAUUAAAUAUAAACCAUUCCAUAUGCAUGUUAUAAAGUCUACGCGUCAAUAAUUACACAUCCUUUUCUUCUUGAUCGUGUCACGUUUUUCAUUUAAGACAACAUAAAAUAAGAAAGACUAGUGAGAUAUUCUUGACCACGAUUUGUUCUUCGGUUUAAUAAGACUGACGGACCGUGGACGAACUGUUUGACACUUUAAAAAGACCCAAACUUUUACUUAUGUAUCCUUCAAUACAUAUGCAUAUAUAAUGGAACAAAUAUAUAUGGUAGUAAAUAGACUUCCUCUUAUUUUCACUCUCCAAUUCAAGUUUUUUACUCAACUAUACUAAUCUUCAGUUCUCCACUCCAAUAAUAAAUCUUUCUGGAAUGUUUUGCAUUUUUAAAAUUUUCACUUUCUAAUUUUUAUUGCUACUUUUCCUCAUUUUCUAAAAUGACAAUUUGCUUACCAUAACUUUGAAUCUUUUAAUACCUUUUUAUUUUCAAUAACAGAGAUGUAAAAAGUCACAUAUUUUUCCUCGUAGGGAAACAAGAUCUCCUUAGAAGCGACUUCUUCUCUUCCAGCGGCUCCAUGUGCGACCGGUCGGUUUCCACAUAAAAGACCCCGCCGGCGUCAAGUCAACACAACUAGACGAGCCAAUUAAAUAAAUAGAACCUUCCUCAAUUUAACAAUGUUGCCCCCACAUCACAUGACUUGUCAGAGCCCAUUAUAGCUUUUUCUCUCUUGAAAAGCCUUACAGAGUAGCCCAAUAGACCAUAUUAGGCCCAUGUUUAAUUACCCAUAGUAAAAGAGGCUCACUUCUCUUCUGUCAUGUCAUGUUUAUCUGUUUAAUCCGAUUUUCGAUUCGAAGCAAACACAGUAUGAAGCUGAAAGCUUUCUCCUGAAUCUUGUCUUUGUAUCCGUCUUUUCGAAUUAUUUCUCCAUGGAAUCUGUGCUUCUCUGCUCAAAGGUUGUCCCUCGAGGGACGCCGUUGGAAAGGAACAAAAAGUUUUCGUUCAGGCAUUUAAACAAACACCUUAAGUGCAAUUCUCUUCCUGCUGCUUCCAGAAACACUCCGUCACUCCGAAGCUCCGAGGCUAUCAAGGGUCCGUCUAGCUUGAGAUUUGCUCCGUCCCCAGUGAGAAAAGGUUCGUCUUUUCUACCCAGAUGCUCGAUUUCCACCUCGACUGUUUCCGAUUCCGACAACCCUUUCGUUACCAAGUUCCGACAACUGGUUAAUAAAGUCUCUCAGCUGAAAGUGAAGCCCUUGGAUGCUGUGAAGUUAACUCUUUUGCUAUCGGUUCUGACUCUGGCUGCGAAAAAGAUUGCGACUUUGGUCUUCAACCCAUUCUUCUGGAUGUAUUUCAGCUGGACGUGGCUCUUCUGGCCUUGGUUCAUCGCUGUGGGUCUCGCGGGCUACGGUGUUUACUGCUUCCGUAAGCAUUGGCUCGGCGAAGCCAACGCCUUUGAGCAGCUUGGUAUUGUAACUUCAGCCUUCCCAUGGCUUACACUAGUCCCUCCUGCUUACUUCAAUGGCUAUCUCGAAGGCUGGCCUUUUGUCUUCUUCUUGGCUUACCAUUACUUCUUCUUCUUCAACGUAAGCGUGAGGAAACGCCUCUAUGGAGAUUACUACGCACGCAACCAUGAUCCCAAAUGGGAUGUGGAUACGCCUCUAUGGUCUCGUGUUUUGUUUGGUGUUGGCGUCGUUGUUGGACAUUGGCUCGCGGCUUUCGAAGGCCCUGAGCUUCACCGUUUACCGGGCGGUUGGGCUAAUGUAGGGAUAUGGGGUUUGAUUGUGGUUACAAUGCUUAUGCAUUACGAUUCGACGCUGUAUCUUGCUAGAUAUUCUGAAAAAGUGGUUGUCCCAACGGAUGUUGUGCAGUUCGGUCCUUAUAGAUGGGUCAGGCAUCCGAUAUAUGCUUCUACCAUGCUUCUUUUCGCGACGUACUGCACCUCGCUGCGUGCGCCUUUGAGCCUGUUGUUUCUUGUGGCGGUGUGUUUGGUUUACUACAGCAAGAAGGCGAAGAUGGAGGAAGAGUUGAUGGUGGAGAGUUUCGGUCAAAGGUAUUUGGAUUAUGCUGAUAAGGUUAGGCACAAGUUCAUUCCUUUUGUUUACUAAGUGCGUUAGAGGAACAUGUGUUGUUGUCUAAAUAUCUGGUAUCUAUCAGUCAAAGAUGUAUGAAUGGAAGAUGUGUUGGAUUGUUCCAUUUUAUCGGGAAAUGUUAGGCUUGUGAAAAAGAUAUGCUUUUUUAUGCUAUUCAAAUUCAUGAUAUUUCUCAUCAUUAUUUUAGUUUGGUUUAGCACGAAUCUGAAACUUGAUUGGCUUUUAUGAAUACCAAACGGCCGUUCUUGAUUGCUUGUUACGAGUGAUAAGUUAUAUCCUAACGCAUAUUUUUGAUUGAGUGUUUGCUUUAUACUAUUGUUGCAUAAUCCAACCGUGAUUUGCUCCAUUUUUUUUAAUCCAUUCCAAUGGGGUACAUGUGACGCUAAGAUCUAAAUCUCCUGAUCUUACCUGAUUCACUAACUUAAAAAGUAUAUGGAGUACCUCCAGUUAAAACCUAAAGCUGUUUGCUUUCUGAGUGUUUUUUGCCUUUACACGUAAGGAACCGCACAGGGAACAAUCUUAAUCAUGAUUAGUUUGAUAAAGUGACCAGUGUUAAUCUAAUAAUAUUCAUAAUCCCACUUGUUCCAUGCUAAUCUUAUCAUGAUUAGUAUAAUACAAAUUCUUCCUUCCUGAUAAAACUUUAUUUUAGUCCAUUGCAUUUGCAACCCAUCAACCAUCUCCACCUGGAAAUGUUUCUUUAAUGACUUCUUCAUGGCACUUUGGAGAAAAAAAGGUUUUGAGGUUUGUGUAUAAAAAUACUUGAGAUUUUCAGAUAUUUCCAUAUGAAAAAACUCUUUAGCUUUGGUUUCUUUUCAUGGUAGUGAAGUGGGUUUGUGUUAUAUUGAUGUGAUCUCUCUCUAAUCAUAAGUUAAUUAUCAGAUACGUUACCUCCUGAUGCUAGUUCUGUCCCUUUCUAAGUGAUUUUACAUCAACCAACUAGCUUUCUUCAUUGUAGUGUAUAUAUUCAUGCACCUCUCUCUCUUAUUUGCUUAUCCCAAAAAUCAUCUUGCUGAUUGAUUUGCUUUCCUCUUUGCGUGUUCAUUUGGGGAAUGGUCAUAAAAGUUCCAAACUCUAGAGCUCAAACUAAUAAGGUUCUUUUGUCUGUGGUUGCUUUAUUUGGUUUCUUGAUAAAAAGGCCAAAAAAAAGAGCCUCUGGUAGUUGCUAACAGCCGGUAGUUGCAGAUGCAGCAUCAUUAAGAUUCACAAGAGAUGUGCUUUCCUUUGUUUGGGCUCGUUUCGAAUGGGAAUCUUGAUGAUGCUGCAUCAGCAAAUACAUGGCUACUCUUGCCAACUUUGAUUUCCUUCUCUAAUGAAGAAAAUAAAGAUGCCUUUGCGGUAAUACAAAGGACUCGAAAACAGAAGGUAUAGUCUCUUUUCUUGUUUCUGACUCUUGACAAUACACGUUGUGAAGUAUCUUCAAGUUUGUGAUGCUUUUUUCUUGCUCCUGUUAUUAGCUAAACCAUUCACGUGUAUAACUUUCAAAAGGAUCCCACAUAUACUAUAAAAGACCAAACAAAAUAGUGACAAUUAUAUUUGUACACAUUUAUUUAAAUAUAAGUAGACCUUGAUAUACGUUUCUAAGAUAAAUAUGAACAGUGAGAACUAGGCCUAGCAUUUUGAACCGAGCCAAAAUUUUGGUUAUUGGUUCGGUAAUUGGUUACUUCGGUUUUUCAAACCGAACUAACCAAUAUUAUUCAAAAUUACCUGAAUUUAACGGAAAACCAAAAAACUUUGGUAAGUUUCAAUAAAAGAUUUAAAAACCCAACUUAAUUUUUUUGGUUUAUUUCGGCGAAAUUUUGUUCAAACUGAACUACCGGAAUCCGCAUGCCUAGUGAGAACUCAGAAGUAAGAAGUCUCUUGUGGUUAUGGGUUGUGGGAACUCACAUGGUCACAUGUGUAAGUGGUCCAUUAAGUGUUCUUUGGUCAAUUCGUUGCCUAUGGUCCCAAGUUAUAUCGUGUAUUUAUAGUUUCUUUGACCCGAUUAAGGAAAAAAAAAACAUUUUUCCACAUGGAUCAUAUGAAUCUCGAGGCAUAGUUUCCCUGCUAAAACAAAUUAGAAAAUGAAAUAAUAAUAAUAAAAUACUUUUCAAAGUUUUCUUGAAAAUGUAUUGAUGAAUUUUAAGAGUCUGCAUAAAUUGGUGGGUUUAAUCGUGAAAAUUCAAAUUUAACUUGAUGUUUGUUUUUUCCGUAGCUGAUUAGAAAACCUAACUCUUAACAAUGAUUUAAUUAAUAGGACAUUUGUUAGCUUUUGAAUAAGUGAUUAACAACGAAAAAAGUAUGUAAUGACGUCGAUAACAAAUAGUACUAUAAUAAGUCUCUGUGCUUGGUAAUUUUAUAUGAAGAUAUAGCACGAUAAACCAUAAUCUCGACUAGUGCCAUGUUUAGGAACAGAAAAACGUAUAAUAUGUUUGAAUUGAUAUCGAAACUCCACAUAUCAUAUUUGUUAGACUAUUUUUGUUCUCGGGCAUUAAAAAGAUUAGGAUUAUGAAUGAUAUAUCAUAUUCUGCAUAAAUUUUGUUCAGUUAAAAUAACUAUAAUGCUCAACCACUGUCUCAUUAUCAUCUAGUACACAUGUGAUGACAUAAAAUUGUCCGUUUUCUUUGUAACUCUUUUCAAUUAACGUAAUGUGAAGAUGUACAUCUAAAACUCUGCGUGCCUGAACGUACUUCAAUGUGGUUUGUCUACAAACACGUCUCAAGAUUAUUAACCUAAAUACAAUAUUCAAUUUAAGAAAAGCAUACUAUUAAAUAUAUGUUUGUAUUACACAUAUCUUUAUACUAUUAUAAGAAGUGUCUUAAAAGCUUUGACCUAUUUCAUUCCAAGCUCUCUAUCAUUUCUUAGCUCUAUCUAUAAACAUCACACACACGCACACACAUUCUAUAUUGAUGAACACCUAUAUAUAGAGUUAGAUCAAAAGAACUGAGAACAUCAUAUCCACUCUUGAUCCAUGGAUGAUAAGAAGUUGUGGAUAGUUUCCAAGAAAGAUUCCAUCUUCGAAACGACUCAUUUCUCUUCAAAACCCGACGUUUUCAGACGAAGCUUCUCAACAAAAACUUCUUCUUCACCUUCAAAACCCAUUUUGACAAGAAGUUUCACAACAAAACCUUCUUCGUAUCCUUCCUCGGAACCCAUCUUUAGACGAAGUUUCUCUGCAAAACCCGCUCCUUCAAAAUCUCCAUUUCUGUCAAGAAGCGGUUCAAUGAAAUGCCAAGCUGACACAUCUUCCACGAAGUGUUCCAUCUCUCGGAGCUUGUCUCAUAAAGGCGCUUCUGUGACCCGAAAAUGUCGUGAUGUGGCCAAGGAGCACAAGUCCCGGUUCUACAUCAUAAAACGCUGCGUUCUGAUGCUCGUUUGUUGGCACAAACACGCUUAGAUUCACUAUGGACGUGAAGAAAGAAGAUUAGGUUAAUUAUUUGCAGUGAAUUUACUCGUUUUUUCUUUUCACCUAUCCAUUAUUAUUAUUUUAUAUAUUUUGUUUUAAUGAUACAUUCCAUCUGUUUCAAGUUAAAUGUAAUUUGUUUAAAUUGUUUUCUACUUCUAAAAAAUGUUGCUAUAUUUUCAGUAAAUUUACUAUGAUACGUACACAAAUAGGUAAAAUUAGACAAUGUCGUACUUCACAAGUGAAAAGUGGUAUAAUAGCUAUCUUUAGCUUUUGGUUUCAGUAUGUACAAAAAAUCUAAGACUGGUACACUAAUUUGAAACACAAUGAGUAUUUUAUUGAAAUUGUCUCAUGAUGUAAUGAAAUACAAAAUUUUGCUCAAACUAUAUUUUCACAGUCUAGUAUUUUUCUAACCAUUUUGUUUUAAUUAUUGUGUGAUUGUAUUGAAGUGAGAGAGAUUCCUUCUGAAACAUUGGGAAUGGAAAAGACAUAUAUAAACAAAACUGUACCAGUGUUCCAGCUCCACUGUUCGCAUUUAUACAUGUCGGUCCAUAUUACAAAUAAAAUAAAUAAAAGUACUAUCCCCUAGAUCAUAUAACUGUUGUCAUAUUAAACCGCAUUGUGUUUUGCUUUUGGUUGAAUCGCAUUGUUGGGCUUAAGUUACUUGACGUAUGCCCAAUAUCGUAUUGAGUACAUUGUUUGUUGUGGUCAAUGUCAAUAAGGAUUUACAUUGAAAUGUUAAAUUCCUGGAAGAUGAACUUGAAAGAGACUGAAAAAUAGAACUAACUAAUGAAACUAAAAGUUUCAACAAAAAUCAAUCCCAAAUCAUAACAAUAGAGAGCAAAGUAGCGCCAAGGAAGACAGCAAGAAACUUGUAGAUUGCCUUGUCACGAGGCUUAUACCCUUUUGAGAUAAGGUGGUGAAUCGCAACAUAUAUACACAAGUGACAAGACUCCACACGCCAUGCUCAUUGCUCGUAGCAUUGAUGCUGAUGCCAAUCCUAAAAGCCAAGUAGUAAAUGACUGCAAGGAAGAAUGGUCGUUUAGAGAUUAGCAUGAUGUGAGAACUUUUCCCAUUGCUACGGCAGCAAAGAUCUUGUGCAAGUCCGUAGGUUUCUCCAUGCGUCGCUGUGUCUGUCUAAUUUGUAUUCGUUAGAGAAUAUUAUAAAUUAAAAUCAUUUAGUUAUCACACUUUUAUACCUAUAUAUCGAACCGAAACAAAUGGAAUUGAGUAUGGACACUUAUGAAACCAUAACCUUCUUUUUUUGAACUGAAAAGGGUUAAACCCGGGUGAUAGACCGCGGUCCACGGAUCAGUACAUGGAGCUGAACCAGCCUGGAGAUCAGAACGUUCUGAACAUUUCAACCGAGGUUCAUCUUUUUCACCGUACCGGACAGACUGACCGUGCAGUGUACUGGACCGUCCCGCAUACGUCCGGAAAGGAGCUUUGGCUGGAACCAUGGCCAGAUGACCGAUCUGACCAUACUGGGGCUUAUCUUUCCCGUCCAACUUCACAUUUGAAGACAUAUGGUCGAGCUAGAAUCCACUUUGGACGAGCUGGACGAGGUGACACUUACUUUGGCGAGCUAGAUGAGCUGAGUGAGCUAAGUGACACUACUUUGGAGCUGGAUGAGCUGAGUGAGCUAAAUGACACUAGCUUGGAACUGAAUGAGCCAAGUAACACUGAAGAUGGAGCUGGUUCAGCUGCUGGGCGAAAUGGGCCUUUUCAGCCCAAAGAAAAGUUCAUAAAAAGUUCAUUAUGGGAUUGUUUCUUUCCAAAUUCGACCAGCUCUUUCCUCAGUCCAUUUCAAGCACAUUCUCAUCAAGAAUACCAAGAGGGAGUCAGCAAGGAAGUCUUGGUCGUGCAUGGGAAAAAGAAUUCAACAAAAAUCAUUAAUUUCGGUCUUUAGUCAAAGUCUUCAUUUCUAGUUUCUAUGUCUUGUUUUUAGCACAUUCUUCUUUGGAUUUCUACAACUUGUAAUCCUAUAAAUAAGGCCUUCCUUCAACAACACGCCUACAUCAUCGAUCGACAGCAUAUACUCAGCAUCGGUCUAUUCUCACCCUCAUCCGGCAAAAUGAUCAUCUGCAUCGAUCGACACCACACCUGGUAUAUCAAUCGAUAUUAAAGCCGCCGCCUCAGAAAAGGAAAAAGAGAAUAUCCCUAUUCCAAAUAGGUUUACCAACACCUAUAUAAAGAGUUUUGCACCCAAGAGUACUUCUCACGAAACAGAAGCAGAAAAGAUGAAUGCUCCCACACACCAAUUGGAAGGAACAUCCAAGAGAAGCAUUCGAUCCAAAAACCCUAAUUCAGAAGACAAACGUCUACCAUCGAUCGAUACCCCAGUAUCAACAUCGAACGAUUCUCAUUCUAAACCUAAACUUUCUUUAUCUACUAAGAAUAUGAGUAUUGAUUACAACUUUCUAUUGCCUGAUGAAUUUGGUAUUUUCAGGGACCAAGAUGGCCAUGCAAGAGCUAUGGAUGGAAGGAUUCUACAAGUAUCCAGAGAGGACAUAGCAUAUAUUGUUCAGUUGGUCAAUGGAGUAGACAACUUGUUUACGCAGCAAAGCAACAUCCCAGACAACAAUCCAACUGUUCCAGACGAAUAUCAAAGGGCCACCACAUCAGGAAUUGGUUCACACCAAUCAUGCACACCUGUUGGCCAAGCAUCGAUCGACAAGGUUGUUUCUACAUCGCUCGACAGGGUAAUACCAACGUCGAUCGAUAAGACACCUUCACCAUCGAUCGAUAGACGUUACAUGUGGACGUCGCGCUUAUGACAGUUAUGGAGCCAGAAAGUUCAAAUGGGAACAGAAAGACGAAUAUGGAGUCUACAGAGAUGAGUCUGGAUAUGCAAGAAGUGCAGCUGGUGAUAUGAUUCCUGUUACCAAGGAUGACAUCAGGAAAAUUCUGGAGAGAGCAUCCCUAUUAGGAGAGGGUCACAUAUGUCUUCCAGAACAUGCCACUUCCUUUUACACCUACAAAUCUGACACCAGAGAUCUACAUCAAGGAUAAGAUCAAUGAGAUGGUGAUUGGUAUUUUUGGAGCUCCGGAACAGCUAGGAGAUGAAGUCAAGACAUUGGUAGAUGACACUUAUCAGCCUUUGGACAGAGGUUACAAUGAGCUUUUCAGACGUAUGGCAUAGCUGAAGACAGAGAUUGAGAGUAUGCAACACAACCUUGAGAAAGAAGCUACGACAUCAACAUCGAUCGACGCCAACAAAGCAACAUCGAUCGACGUCAAGCCACAUACAUCCCAGAUUCCUGCAGAACCGGAAAGUUUGGCAGAGAAGAAGGAUGAAUGGGAGAUCGUUUACAUCAACACGAGGAUUAACGACGUUUACAACCCUCCCAACAACAACGUGGACUAGUUGAGCACGAGGAUUGAUCUGCUACAGCAAGAUUUGGGUAACAUUCGCAUGAAUGAUACACAACCAGCCACAUCGGUCGAUAUUUGCAACAUCACAUCGAUCGACACAAAGUUCGCAGCAAUGGAGGAUAGGUUAAAAUCUUAUGAGGAUAUGCAUGAUUGUUUCACCUCACCUAUCAUGCGAUACUUGGACACCUUGCCUACACAGAUGAUUAAUGUUUAGAAGGACAUUGGUAAGCUUAAUGAUCAACAUAACUGAUAGACUGCGGUCCAAGGAUCAGUACAUGGAGCUGAACCAGCCUGGAGAUCAGAACGUUCUGAACAUUUCAACCGAGGUUCAUGUUUUUCACCGUACCGGACAGACUGACCGUGCAGUGUACUGGACCGUCCCGCAUACGUCCGGAAAGGAGCUUUGGCUGGAACCAUGGCCAGAUGACCGAUCUGACCAUACUGGGGCUUGUCUUUCCCGUCCAACUUCACAUUUGAAGACAUAUGGUCGAGCUAGAAUCCACUUUGGACGAGCUGGACGAGGUGACACUUACUUGGGCGAGCUAGAUGAGCUGAGUGAGCUAAGUGACACUACUUUGGAGCUGGAUGAGCUGAGUGAGCUAAAUGACACUAGCUUGGAACUGAAUGAGCCAAGUAACACUGAAGAUGGAGCUGGUUCAGCUGCUGGGCGAAAUGGGCCUUUUCAGCCCAAAGAAAAGUUCAUAAAAAGUUCAUUAUGGGAUUGUUUCUUUCCAAAUUCGACCAGCUCUUUCCUCAGUCCAUUUCAAGCACAUUCUCAUCAAGAAUACCAAGAGGGAGUCAGCAAGGAAGUCUUGGUCGUGCAUGGGAAAAAGAAUUCAACAAAAAUCAUUAAUUUCGGUCUUUAGUCAAAGUCUUCAUUUCUAGUUUCAAUGUCUUGUUUUUAGCACAUUCUUCUUUGGAUCUCUACAACUUGUAAUCCUAUAAAUAAGGCCUUAGAGCCACGAAAUAAAACAGAUUGUUUUUCCUUUUUUAUGAGUUUCUCUCAUUGUUCUUUGUUUAGAACACUUCUUAGUUUCUUGGUGAGGUUAUCUCCAAGUUUCGAUCCUUCUUUUGUUGGACCGGUGCGUCACAUCCGGCAACGAUCGAAGUCUGGUAGUAUCUUUGGGCUAUUCCGCAACCCUUAGUGUCACCCCUCGAUUCAUCAGUUCUCAAUCCUCUCGGAUCUGAGUUCAUAUCAACCUUACCGAAGAGUGAUCCUUAUUUUGGUUCUAUCACCGGGUCUAUUAAAAACACAGACCUAACCCCCGGGUGGAGGUACAGCCCACGGAUAGACUCUCUCCUGGGCAUUCAAAUGAGCCGAAAGCAAUAGCCCAUAUCCGUGUGGCCAGCGGGGUUCGAACUAGGGUUCGCCGUAUUGGGUUUAAUCCCUCAAGCGUCACUAGACUACCGUCACUGGUUAACCAUAAUCUUCUUCGCUGCUCAAAUUGAUGAUUUGUGAAUUUUGACAUCCAAUAUAUGUAAAUACCUCCAAUAUAUUCUGUUAGGAAUAAAAAUAAGAAGAAGUUGAAACUGUUUCCGUCACCUGCGGGUCACUGAUUUUUUUUUUUGUUUGCGUUAUCACACGAGAAAUAUCGUUUCAUGACCUCAUAAUUUUCACCUACGAACUCCAUAUUUUGACUAAUGAAUAUAUUGCUAAACCUCAGUAACAGAAAUUCUAGUGCUGCCCUGGUUCAAACCACCUUUUGAAAUGGAUGAUUAUUCCUUAAAUCUGAAUAUCAAAAAGCUGAUCCUAAACCUAGGAGAGAUUACAAACCUAAGGUCUAUAGUUUCAAAUGUUAAACAAAAAAAAGCUAGUGCUAUAUAAGCCAAAUAUAAGACUCUGAAGUUUGAAUUAAUAUAAAGUUGUUGUUGAGCCAAAAAAAGAAAAAAAAAAGCUAGUGCUAUAGAAUUGAUAAGAGAGUUUUUUUGUCUACAUCUAGCAAAAAAAUGGAUUUAAUCAUUUAUGUAAAAAGAGUAUUUAUGUUAACUCAUCGUUCGACAAAUUUUUUGACCGGGUCAAACCGUUUCGAACCAAAAUCUAAAUGUGCCGUCGAGUCGAGGUAUGCAUUAAAAAGGGACUUGCAGUUGAAACUGAAUUCAAAUUGGGCAACUUAACCAUCAAGACUUUUGUCUUCUUUUCUCAUUCCUAUGCAUCUCUUUCGUAGCUAGGCCCACUCUUAGCAUCCGAGGAAAAAAAAAAGGCUUAAAGAGCAAGCAUUCUUUACUUUCUCGGAAACCAAAACAGCCAAAAUCUCGGGAAAACUUUCGAGGAUCUGAGUCCAAGACAACAGCUAAAGGAAAAAAAAUGAUGAAAGUUGAACGAAAACAUUAGACAUUUUGAUGUAACGUAAUAUACGACGAAUCAAUCGAAUUGUAAAAAAUAAAAAAGGAUCGUUCCAAUCUUAACUUCUUCUGAAUCCUUAUAUUUACAUUUUGUAGAAUGAACAAACAUAUAUAUAUUAUCAUCAAUGUAGAACUGAAGAAUCUCUGUUACUUCUGUUUCUCCCGAAGUAUCUUCUCAUCACUGAACUCGACCGUUCCAAACCCCUAGGUUCUACUCCAAUGUCCAAAUUCACACGAUUCGACGAAGAGGAAUUAGAGCCACGGUUCGGUCUCACUCUCCUCAUCAACGACACCAUUCCCCGAACCAUCCUUCUCAAUCUACCUCCCGAGCCGGAGGCACCACCAUUGCUACUAUCCGACUCCACUGUCCCCUGUGCUCUAACCCACGAGAUCCGUCUCGGACCCUCACUGUUCCCACUACCAAUCCCACCACCAUCCAUCUCCGUCAACACCACAGGCAACACUCUCUCCCCCUCUCCCAUCGCCGCAUUAAACCUCCCGACCGCGAAUCCCCCUCCGGGAAGCCUCCAUAUCGUCAUCCCCACGGCGUUAUCACCCUCCUCGUUGUUGCUGCUGCUCCGUCUGUUAGGCUCCGAAGGUAGCUCGAACCGGCAGACCGGGCACGAGUUUCUGAUCGAUAGCCACGGCGUGAUACAGUCGUCGUGGAAAAUGUGUUUACACGGCAUCUCACGCGCCUCCGUCUCCGCCUCGAAAACCUCAGUGCACACAGCGCAAUUCGCCUCCGAGCUGAUGUGACAAUCGGAGAUUUCGACUCUCGGCAACGACUCAAUCGCCGAUUUCGACGCCGGAGGGUUUCCAGAUCUGCCGAUUCCGGCUCCCGACGCCUCGAUCUGACUUAGCUGCUCGAGCAACCGCUCGAACCCGGAUCCCAUCACGAUCUCGCAUACUCAAUCCGGAAGGGGACGAAGACCCGAUCCGGAUCCGUCAUCGUAGUAAAACUCGAAAGCGCGUCGGUCUCCUUCUUCGGAAUCGUCUCUCUCGCCGGCGCCUCCUUGGAGGACGAUGACAGGAUUGAACGAAGGACGACGGCUGGAUCUACGGCGUCUAAUCACGGAUCUACGUGUGCUAUCGAUCGAUCUAACUUCAGUGGGAGGUGGAGUCGCUAAUUCGACGGCGGCGGAGGAGGAAUCGGUUACCUCUUCGAUGAAACCACCGUCGCAGUGGGGGCAAGCGACGCUGCCUUGUUCAGAUUCAGACCAGACGCUGACGAAUCGCGUGCAGCUGUAGCACCAAUACGACGCAGUGGCCGGCGGUGUUGUAAUUGUCGUUGACGGCGACGGCGACGAUGACGGCAUCUUCUGACUCCGUGAGAGGAAUCUCUGACCAGAGUUAAAAUGAGAGAGAGAGGUUGAGAUGAGAGAAUGUAAACGUAGCUUUUAAGGCGUUCGUAGGAGCGGAAUUAACGGCGUCGGAUUAGACGGUGAAUAGACACGUGGUAAGUGUUUGACUGGGUGGGAGAUAGCGGAGUUAUUGACGGACGUUAUGUAUAGAGGAAGGAGCGUUCAAACGUGUUUGACCCAAACGCGGAAAGUGGAAACGCCGAGAAAAUUCAAAAGAAGCGCCGUGUCUGACUUAUGUGGGAACACCCAUUUGAUCUCCGUUUCUUCUGGGAAAAAGCCACCCAACGACAUCGUUUCGGUUUGUGAAUUAUGCCAGAAACAAAGCGUGCUGACUGCUUAAUAAUAUAGUCCUUUUUUGUAUUAAUUUAAAAUGUUGUAGUUUACAUUUGUUGUUGUUAGUUACAUAAUUUGUGACAUAUGCUAUUAUGUUUGGCAAUGAUGUGGAGGGUAGAAUCUUUAGAAAAUUAGAUUUUCUUACACGUUGAUGGCUCAAACAAAUUAUUGGUGCCAAGUUGAUAAAAUAUCACACAAGAACCAACUUGUAUCUAUAAAUCGUUUUUAUUAUUAAAAAUGAAAUGAAAAGACUAAAAGUUGCUCAACUAACUAUUGUCUCUGUGUUUCUCUCAUUUGUUUGCAAGCAUUGACAAUAAACAAAUCGCAAUUAUAGCAACUGAUUACCACAACUUCUCGUCACACAAGAAACACAAAACCUGGUGUGAAAACCGUUUGCUAAGCACAACAAUAGGGUGAAACAUGUUCAUUUGUGAAAACAUUUCCAUUUUCUACUGGAAUAUUGAAUCAAAUCAAAUUGACUGUUACAGACAUAAACGGAAGACCAUCAACAACGGCUUCAAUUGGUUUGUCCCUUUUCUUAUGGCUAAAAUUAUGAAAACAAUGAUCUAUGAUCCCUCUGAAACCAACAAUGGCAGCUCGGAAUCUAAACCAGAACUGAAAAAAUGCCAGCUUGAAUCAUGAAACGCUGGAAAAUAAUCAUCGGCUACCGUUUCAAUGGCAAACUCACGAGUGAUCCUUCUUGCAGCUAUGAUCCGUUUAGUGGCACGGAUGACUUCCGGGUCAACAGUCACUUGCUCCUCGUACAUCUGAAAGCUGUUCCCAAACAACGCGAUUCUGCACAAUCGAUCCACUCUCCAGUUAGCUUGCAACAGGUUGUUGUACAGAUUGGCCUCACAGUGCGGCAUGAAGAAAAGAGUAGGCUUCAAAGCUUCCCUCCGAGCUUGCUCGUUCACAGACAGAACAGUGCAUCCCAUAGAUUCUAGGACACUAGAUUCAGUCGCGGAGAGGAUAGGGUCGAAUACUUCAAUGUUACCAACCCAAUGAAACUCUCUCUUCAUCAAAACCGCAAUGCUCAGCUGAAACCUCGGAGAUUCAUAAGCUUCGAUGCUUCCUAUACCAUACACCACCAUCUGAAGCUGUGUUUCAGUGCCUAACACGAGGCGAAACUGGUCUGAAACUUUGAUAAGGUUUAGCUACCUCGAUCUAGAGAACUCUGUAAACUUCUUUAUAAAUUUGAAAUGAGAAAAGGAACACAACUUUGAGUAUGAAAUCUACAACACUCUCAUGGCGAGAAUUGCAGAAGUCAUCAGUCUCAUAGCGACUGUAAAGUAUUGACUCAUGGCGUCAGAUACAAUUAACAUCAAAGCAUGAAGAAGAUAAAAUGAACUUGACAAGUAUUUAUAAGCUGAAUUCAUCUAACUGCAAAGCCUCUGUGAGAUACAGAAGGUCUUCUCUUUUAUUUAAAUUCCCACUCCAACGUUCCCUUCCACGUCAGCCUCACUCUGUUUCCCUCCUGACGCCUUCUUCUUGCGAAAAUAAGUCUUUUGAUACUUAUCAAUACCUCGCCCUUCGAAACCGAGCUUGCCCUCAAGCUCGAAAGAAGGAAAACACGCCAUAAACUCCUUCGACAGCAUCCAAGAAUCAUCUGCAGCAUCCUUCCCUUUCCAAGUCACCAACAACUCCAACUCGCCAUCCACAGAAUAUCGUUUAGCCAAGACAUCCAAAGGUUGCAACGGUGCUUCUGUCUCUGUUGAAAACACAUAUUUAUGUUAACUCAUCGUUCGACAAAUUUUUUGACCGGGUCAAACCGUUUCGAACCAAAAUCUAAAUGUGCCGUCGAGUCGAGGUAUGCAUUAAAAAGGGACUUGCAGUUGAAACUGAAUUCAAAUUGGGCAACUUAACCAUCAAGACUUUUGUCUUCUUUUCUCAUUCCUAUGCAUCUCUUUCGUAGCUAGGCCCACUCUUAGCAUCCGAGGAAAAAAAAAAGGCUUAAAGAGCAAGCAUUCUUUACUUUCUCGGAAACCAAAACAGCCAAAAUCUCGGGAAAACUUUCGAGGAUCUGAGUCCAAGACAACAGCUAAAGGAAAAAAAAUGAUGAAAGUUGAACGAAAACAUUAGACAUUUUGAUGUAACGUAAUAUACGACGAAUCAAUCGAAUUGUAAAAAAUAAAAAAGGAUCGUUCCAAUCUUAACUUCUUCUGAAUCCUUAUAUUUACAUUUUGUAGAAUGAACAAACAUAUAUAUAUUAUCAUCAAUGUAGAACUGAAGAAUCUCUGUUACUUCUGUUUCUCCCGAAGUAUCUUCUCAUCACUGAACUCGACCGUUCCAAACCCCUAGGUUCUACUCCAAUGUCCAAAUUCACACGAUUCGACGAAGAGGAAUUAGAGCCACGGUUCGGUCUCACUCUCCUCAUCAACGACACCAUUCCCCGAACCAUCCUUCUCAAUCUACCUCCCGAGCCGGAGGCACCACCAUUGCUACUAUCCG
rnacentral:lncRNA from 1 species